rnacentral:lncRNA from 1 species
UUUACAUUACUUUUUUUCUCAUUCUUCAUCAGUUAUACGAGUUUUCAUUGAUCAUAUUAUCUGUCUUUGAAUUCAUAUUGCUUAGUUAUACGAGUUCUAAACUGAUCAUAUUAUCUUUUUUCUCGUCCUUCAUCAGUUAUAUGAGUUUUCAUUAAUCAUACUAGUUGUCUUCAUAUUGCUUGGUUAUACGAGUUCUAAACUAAUCAUAUUAUCUAUCAAUCUCCAUAUUGCUCGGUUACGAGUUCUCAACUGAUCAUAUUAUCUAUCUCUAUAUUGCUUUCUUCCUCGUCCUUCAUCGACUAUAUAUACGAAUUUUCACUAAUCAUAUUAUUUAUCUCCAUAUUGCUUUCUUUCUUGUCCUUCGUCGAUUAUACGAGUUUUCACUGAUCAUAUUAUUUAUCUCCAUAUUGCUUCCUUCCUAUCUCGUCCUUCAUCGGUUAUAAGAGUUCUCACUGAUCAUAUUAUCGAUCUAUAUCUAUAUUACUUUUUGCCUCGUCUUUCAUCAACUAUACGAGUUCUCACUAAUCAUAUUAUCUAUCUCCAUAUUUCUUUCUUCCUCGUCCUUCAUCGACUAUAUAAAUUCUCACUGCUCAUAUUAUCUAUCUACUUUAUUUGAGCUUAUUUCAAACUGUAUGCCGAUAUAACAUGUUCAAAAAAUUUCUUUAAUAUAUAGUUCGAGUCGAAAGCAAUAAGUAUGGUCACAUCUACUGUUGAAAAGUUGUACUUGUCUAUGUGAAUGCCAGUGUAAUCAAAAUUAUCAACUGUAACGCACAAUAUCGAAAAAGGUUAUAUUGUAAAUUAAAAAAACUCCUACAUACAUACAUACAUACAUACAUACAUAUAUAUAUAUAUGUGUAUAUAUAUAUAUAUAUAUAUAUANNNNNNNNNNNNNNNNNNNNNNNNNNNNNNNNNNNNNNNNNNNNNNNNNNNNNNNNNNNNNNNNNNNNNNNNNNNNNNNNNNNNNNNNNNNNNNNNNNNNNNNNNNNNNNNNNNNNNNNNNNNNNNNNNNNNNNNNNNNNNNNNNNNNNNNNNNNNNNNNNNNNNNNNNNNNNNNNNNNNNNNNNNNNNNNNNNNNNNNNNNNNNNNNNNNNNNNNNNNNNNNNNNNNNNNNNNNNNNNNNNNNNNNNNNNNNNNNNNNNNNNNNNNNNNNNNNNNNNNNNNNNNNNNNNNNNNNNNNNNNNNNNNNNNNNNNNNNNNNNNNNNNNNNNNNNNNNNNNNNNNNNNNNNNNNNNNNNNNNNNNNNNNNNNNNNNNNNNNNNNNNNNNNNNNNNNNNNNNNNNNNNNNNNNNNNNNNNNNNNNNNNNNNNNNNNNNNNNNNNNNNNNNNNNNNNNNNNNNNNNNNNNNNNNNNNNNNNNNNNNNNNNNNNNNNNNNNNNNNNNNNNNNNNNNNNNNNNNNNNNNNNNNNNNNNNNNNNNNNNNNNNNNNNNNNNNNNNNNNNNNNNNNNNNNNNNNNNNNNNNNNNNNNNNNNNNNNNNNNNNNNNNNNNNNNNNNNNNNNNNNNNNNNNNNNNNNNNNNNNNNNNNNNNNNNNNNNNNNNNNNNNNNNNNNNNNNNNNNNNNNNNNNNNNNNNNNNNNNNNNNNNNNNNNNNNNNNNNNNNNNNNNNNNNNNNNNNNNNNNNNNNNNNNNNNNNNNNNNNNNNNNNNNNNNNNNNNNNNNNNNNNNNNNNNNNNNNNNNNNNNNNNNNNNNNNNNNNNNNNNNNNNNNNNNNNNNNNNNNNNNNNNNNNNNNNNNNNNNNNNNNNNNNNNNNNNNNNNNNNNNNNNNNNNNNNNNNNNNNNNNNNNNNNNNNNNNNNNNNNNNNNNNNNNNNNNNNNNNNNNNNNNNNNNNNNNNNNNNNNNNNNNNNNNNNNNNNNNNNNNNNNNNNNNNNNNNNNNNNNAUAGGGUAUCCAAAUGAUUGGAAGAAUAAGAAGAAACAGAUGAAACAGAUAAGUACAGGAAUAAAUACAAAAUAGAGUUCUACUAAAACGGCCAGAAGGCAAAACUUUGGUGAACGAAUCUGCAAGUUGUUCAGAGCUAUGAACAUGAGAUACCACCAAGUCACCAUGACUGAUCUUUUCACGAACAAAAUGAUAGUCCAAAGCAAUGUGUUUUGUACGAGAGUGAAAAACUGGAUUAUGCGCUAGGUGAAUGGCUCCAAUGUUGUCACAUUUUGUGGAGACGGGAGAAGUAAGAAAAAGACCAAGAUCACGAAGAAUGUAUUGGACCCAUGUAGCCUCAGCAGUAGCAACAGCAAGAGCCUUAUACUCAGGACUGUAGGUUGUUUCUUAGCGGACCAAGAGAUGAGAUUGGAGCCAAGAAAAAUACAGAAACCAGUUGUUGAUCGUCUUGUAGCAGAGCAACCAGCCCAAUCGAAGUCGCAAUAAAUAGUAAGUGCAAGGGAAGAAUUUUUUGUAUAAAUACAAGCCCCAAUCAGUUGUGCCACUUAGGUACCUGAAAAUGCGUUUUACUGCCUGAAGAUGUAAUUUGUCUCGGCUGGUGAAGAAAUUGAGAAGCAAGGUUUACAGCAAAUUGAAUGUUUGGCCGAGUGAAAGACAAGUAUUAUAGACUCCCAACCAUUUGACGAUAGGUAGAAGGAUCUUCAAACAAAGGAGAAAAAGUUGAAUUCCAGUCAAGCUUACUGUGAAGUGGAGUAAGUCCAGAUUUACACUUCUCAAGUUUAAACCGAUGAAGUAUAGAAGUAAUAUAACGAUGUUGCACCAAUAGCAGCCCUAAGGAAUUAUGCUUCAAUUCAACGCCAAGAAAGUAAGUAAGAGGGCCUAAGUCCUUCAUUGAGAGUUUCGUACUCAUAGAAGUGAUGAACUGAGAUACCAAUGACUUCGAAGAGCCAAAAACAGCUAUAUCGUCCACAUAGAUCAAAAGAAUUAUGCAAUCACUCCCCGAGUAAAAAAUGAACAUACUAUGGUCUGAGAUACAUUGUGUAAAACCAAGAUCAAGAAUAAAACGAGCAAGACGAUAGAACCAAGUACGCAGUGAUUGUUUAAGACCAUAUAGAGCACGCUGUAACUUGCAAACAUAAUGAGGAUAAUCUGGAUGGACAAAACCUUUUGGUUGACGCAUAUAAACUGUCUCAGAUAACUCACCAUGUAAGAAUGCAUUGGACACAUCAAGUUGAUGAAUGAACCAGUUUCGUUAAAGGGUCAAAGAUAGGACUAGACGAAUUGUGCUAGGCUUGAUAAUAGGAGAAAAUGUCUCAAAAUAAUCCACUCCAGGCUGCAGCGAAAAACCUUGAGCCACUAACCGAGCUUUAUAUCUUUCAACAAAGCCAUUGGCACAAAACUUAGUUCGAAACACCCAUUUAUUACCAACAAUAUUUACAUUUGCAGGAGGAGGAACCAAAGACCAAGUUUUAUUUUGAACUAGAGCAUCAAAUUCGACACUCAUGGCAUGCUUCCAAUGGGGAUCUUUAGAAGCUUGAGAAAAGGAGGUAGGUUNNNNNNNNNNNNNNNNNNNNNNNNNNNNNNNNNNNNNNNNNNNNNNNNNNNNNNNNNNNNNNNNNNNNNNNNNNNNNNNNNNNNNNNNNNNNNNNNNNNNNNNNNNNNNNNNNNNNNNNNNNNNNNNNNNNNNNNNNNNNNNNNNNNNNNNNNNNNNNNNNNNNNNNNNNNNNNNNNNNNNNNNNNNNNNNNNNNNNNNNNNNNNNNNNNNNNNNNNNNNNNNNNNNNNNNNNNNNNNNNNNNNNNNNNNNNNNNNNNNNNNNNNNNNNNNNNNNNNNNNNNNNNNNNNNNNNNNNNNNNNNNNNNNNNNNNNNNNNNNNNNNNNNNNNNNNNNNNNNNNNNNNNNNNNNNNNNNNNNNNNNNNNNNNNNNNNNNNNNNNNNNNNNNNNNNNNNNNNNNNNNNNNNNNNNNNNNNNNNNNNNNNNNNNNNNNNNNNGUCUCAGAUAACUCACCAUGUAAGAAUGCAUUGGACACAUCAAGUUGAUGCAUGAACCAGUUUCGUUGAAGGGCCAAAGAUAGGACUAAACGAAUUGUGCUAGGCUUGACAACAGGAGAAAAUGUCUCAAAAUAAGCCACUCCAGGCUGCUGCAAAAAACCUUGAGCCAAUAACCGAUCCUUAUAUCUUUCAACAGAGCUAUUGGAGCAAAACUUAGUUUGAAACACCCAUUUAUUGCCAACAAUGUUUACAUUUGCAGGAGGAGGAACCAAAGACCAAGUUUUAUUUUGAACUAGAGCAUCAAAUUCGACACUCAUGGCAUGCUUCCAAUGGGGAUCUUUAGAAGCUUGAGAAAAGGAGGUAGGUUCAGAUAAAAUAGAAGUAGCUAAAGUUGUUAACGAAGGAAAAAUACGUGGUUUGAGUGAACCAGUUUGAGAACGAGUAAUCAUGGGAUGAGAUUUUAGUUUGAUGGCGAAUGGAGUAGAAUUAGGCAUACUAAUAUUGUCAGAUGAAGGUUGAAUUGGUGUUGGUUAUGCCUAGGAUAAAUCAAUACGACCUUCAGAAGAAAGAUUUAAACUAUUUGCAGGACAUUGAUUCAAAGGAGAGUGCAUAAGGUGUGAGGGAGAAGCUGGAGAAAAUUGAUUAGAAUCUUUAAGGCUAGAAUCUUGAGAAUUAGGUGACAUUAAUAUAGAACUCUGAAGACUGCUGCUAGGUGCGAGUUGCUGCUUAUUUUCGGCGAUGGGAGUUUCUAAAUUAAAAGAUUUAGUAUUAUGUGCAUUGGGAAAACAUGAAGAAGGUUGAGCAGGAAGAAGUCCCAUUUGGAAAAAAUUAGGAGAAGGUUCUCCAGAACGUGCGAUGAGAUAGAAUUAGGUGCGGUUGUUGGCUAAGUAGGAAAGAAGGUCAAACGGAAAAGAGUCUUCAACAAAAUGAACAUGCCGAGAGAUGAUAACUCUAUUUGAAUUAGGAUCCCAACACUUAAAACCUUUGUGUUUACCAGAUGAACCGAGGAAUAAAAAAGCUUGGAACGAGGUUGGAACUUAGAGCAAAGACCAACUGCUACAAAGGGAUAACAGAGGCAUCCAAAUACACAAAUAAGAUUAUAAUCUGGCGCACGACCAUAAAGCUAUUCAAACAGAGAUAGGAAAUGCAGCACCGGAAGAGGAGUAACAUUAAUCAGGGAGACGGCAUACAGACAAGCAUCAGCCCAAAAUUUGAAAGACAUAGAUGCUUGAAAUAUAAGACAGCGUAGGACAUUUGCAAUUUGUCUAUGUUUGCGCUCGGCCCUACCAUUUUGAGCAGACGUGUAAGGACAAGAAAAACAAUGGACUAUGCCAUUUUGCUUGAAGAAUGAACUAAAUUUUUUGUUAACAUAUUCACCACCUCCAUCAGACUGGAAAUAAGAAAUGGAGGUGUGAAAAACAUUUUUAACCAUGGUAUAAAAUUCUUUGAAUUUGUCAAAAGUUUCAGAUUUUUCAUACAUCAAGUAAACCCAAGAGAAUUUGGUGUAAUCAUCAAGGAAUAAAAUAUAAUAACGAUAUCCAGAAUUUUAGACAAUAGGAGCAUGCCAUACAUCUGAAUGAAUUAAAACGAAUGGAGAANNNNNNNNNNNNNNNNNNNNNNNNNNNNNNNNNNNNNNNNNNNNNNNNNNNNNNNNNNNNNNNNNNNNNNNNNNNNNNNNNNNNNNNNNNNNNNNNNNNNNNNNNNNNNNNNNNNNNNNNNNNNNNNNNNNNNNNNNNNNNNNNNNNNNNNNNNNNNNNNNNNNNNNNNNNNNNNNNNNNNNNNNNNNNNNNNNNNNNNNNNNNNNNNNNNNNNNNNNNNNNNNNNNNNNNNNNNNNNNNNNNNNNNNNNNNNNNNNNNNNNNNNNNNNNNNNNNNNNNNNNNNNNNNNNNNNNNNNNNNNNNNNNNNNNNNNNNNNNNNNNNNNNNNNNNNNNNNNNNNNNNNNNNNNNNNNNNNNNNNNNNNNNNNNNNNNNNNNNNNNNNNNNNNNNNNNNNNNNNNNNNNNNNNNNNNNNNNNNNNNNNNNNNNNNNNNNNNNNNNNNNNNNNNNNNNNNNNNNNNNNNNNNNNNNNACCAUCUCCAACCAUAACUUGAGAAGAACCAGAAUAAGGAGUGUGAGAAGUAAGAGUAGAAGGAUUAGGAGUCAUGUGUGCAGAUGCCCCAGAGAGUCUGGAUACCAAACUAUUGGUUGAACCUCCUCCAAAUUCAUGGAAGCAAAUGAUUGAGGAAUAUUGUUAGCCACAAAGGAAUGAUUGAACCUAUUUCUACAAUCCAACGCAGUGUGAUUAUAGUGAAAACAAAUUUGACAUUGCUUAACGGGAGAGAAAGGGGAUUUCCCAAAAUAUCAGUAGCAGGGGAAGGAGGCCGAGAUUGUUGUUGGAAACCAUACCAUGAAGAGUUAUGGUAACCUCGUCCUCUACCGUGUUGACCCUUAUUAUUUCUACCACGGCCUCAUCCAUUGUAGUGUCCUUUUGCAAAUUGAUUUCCAUUAACAGGUGACUGAUAUGACUAAUUUCCAUUAACAGAUGAUGAUAAAUUAGAAAUGUUUUUCCUUGAGUGGCCACCAACAAAACGGUUUGAGAAUUGACUCUUCAGAAGUAUUUGCAUUAAUGUGAGCUUCUUUAGUAAGAAGGAGUGGUCAUAAUGCAAUGAAGGAAGGAAGUGUGCCAGUAGCAUUUAAUCCAGACACAAAGGUACGAUAAGAUGAAGGUAAUCCUUGUAGCGCUUGAGUGACUAGAUCAUCAUCAAUUACAGGUUUACCAAUUGCUCUGAGAGAGCAGGCAGUCCAGUGAAGUUUUUAAAGAUAAUUCUCUUCAUAGAAAGGGACCCUUUUUUGAAGUUUUGGAAUUUAGACUUGAGAUGAAUUAUAGAGGAAGAGACUUGAUAUAAAUAUAGGGAGGCUAAGGUGUCCCAAGCUUGUUUUGAUGUCUCACAAGAAUAUUUCAAAAGUGUGUCAAGAACAGCGAAAGAGAGGGUUGCAUUAAUCCAACUUAAUGCAAUAGUAUCACACUGAAUCCAUAGCCUGAAAUUAGUGUGUUCUGGUAAUGGACAUCGUAUGGUUCCAUCUACUAAGGAAAGAAGAUUGUGACUUUUAAGGAUGGUGAGAAAAACUUUCUUCCAAGUAAGGUAGUUGACGUAUGUCAAUUCAAUAGGAACAAAACCUUUGAUAUUGGAAACUGUUGGAGGGGGAUUUGGAAGGCUAAGAGAAGAUUGAUUUAUAGCAGUUUGAGCAGAGGCAGUGGUGGCCUGAGAUGAGGAAAUUUAUGAAGCCAUGGAAAGGAUCGUUUAAGGCUUUGAUACCAAGAUGAAAUAGAUAAAGUGAAGGGUUAAAGUGUGAGCCUUGCUCAUUCUAUAUUUCUGUAUUUAUAAAGCGGAAUUACAACAUAUAUCUAUCUAACAGAUAAGUACAAGAAUAAAUACAAAAUAGAGUUCUACUAAAACUAGGAUACAAGAAGAUAACUGCAACAAAAACAAGGUUAUACUCCUCCAAAUUUCAAGUCACAUAAUGCUGGUGCUAACAAUUUCUCACCACAUAAUAGGGGUAACAACUAUACUAGCACUGGUAGCAAGUCUUCCCAAACUGCAAGCAUGGUAGUAGGACCAGGUGAUGCUGCCAGUUCCAGUCAUGAUAUGAAUUCUGCACCACUGGCAAAACCUUAUACAUUCACAGAUGAAGAGCACACUCAAAUCAUGAACAGGUAUUGCCACUUGUUUUUUAUCCGAGGCUUGUUCUGACAGUUGGAUUGUAGAUUCAGGAGUUACACAUCAUGUGUCUGCCCAUAGACACUUGUUCAAAGAUAGCACCAGCCUGGUUCCAAGACACUUGGACAAAUUGCACCUUCCAAUAAGUGAUGAAGUCACAAUUUCCCACACUGGAGAAGCCUAUAUGUUUACAGAUGAUGUGAUCAAAGAUGUCCUCUUUGUUCUAGAUUUUAGACUAAAUUUGUUUGUUGCUAAGAUAACCAAGGAACUGUCAUGCUUUGUGUCCUUUUAUCUUGAUUUUUGUGUAUUUCAGGACCUCUUCAAUGGCAAGGUGAAGGGGAUUGGUAGAAAAGAGGGUGGAUUGUAUGUUCUUAAAGGAGAAUGAAAAGAUAAUUGUUAUACCCAUUUUAACACUGGUCAAAAUAGUGAACAACGUAUUGGAAAACUUCAGAGUUAAAUUUAAGGAAGUCGCCACCUAAUUAGUUCUACGGUGAAUUAGGACACCUAUUACAAACUACGUGAUUAAAAUAAAUAAUGACUUCAUUUUAAGGUCUGCAAAACCUAAAAUUCUAGGUAAGGAUUCUAUUUAUCCUAAAGGGAAGGGAUUAGGCACCCUAAAGGAUCCGUUAACUACAGUUAACCGGCCAAACUUAGAUUAGAUAAGAAAAUUAAAUAUUAAAUUAAGAAAAUAUAUAUAUAAGGCAUUAAAAAAAAAAAUUUUUGUCUUUUAUAAGAUAAUAUAUGCUAAUUAUAAAGAUUAGAAAAUGUUUUAGAACAUCCUCGCCAUAAAUAAAAAUAAAAUAAAAUAAAGUUUUUAACUAAAAAUAAAUAAAAAUUUAUUCUAAAGGAUGAUCCUUCGGCUUUUUUCUUAUUUAUCAAAUUUUAUAAAAUAAUAAGUCACUUACCUUACUCUACAUGAAUAGAUAAAUUAAAUAGUAGUUUAAACAUAUAAUGACUUGAGAAUUUAUUGUUUAUUACGAUAAAAUAUUUUUUAUUGUUAUUAGGAAUACUUAAAAGGGACUUGCGAAAUGUCAUUUUUUAUUAAAAAUAAACUUUGAUUUGCCGUAUCUAAAAUUAGUAAAGCCGGUUUUCUAAAUUAGCAAUAAUACGCCUAUCUACCACAAAUUUAUAUUUAAAGGAUUUCCAAAUUAUUACCUAAUAAGAAACUAACAUUAUUCUAAAGAUAAACUACUAUUUCGUAUUAAAGAAGUAUUAAAAGGAUUCUAACAAACUUGGUAAUUAUUCUAAAGAUAUCUUUUAACCUACAAAUUUUAAAACUUUUAAUGAUGUAAAUUAAAUGUCGAAGUCUAGUGAUUAUGCUAAGUCUAAAAUCUAACGAGCGAAGAGGGAACGAUAAAAAUUCGCUACACAAAAUCACAUAAGAACAUAUAAAAACACAACUUUUAAAUAAUAGUGCACGAAAUAUUAAAUAAAGAAAAGAAAUAAUAAUAACAGGUUUCUAUGGAAGAAGAGUAAAGCUUGAAAAGAAGGAAGGAGGCACUAGACUGCUAGAAGGAGAUACAUAAUGCAAUUUGCUCGCUUCUCUGAUUUGAACAGAGAUGGAGUCAUGCCAUGAGACUCCAAACACACUCCCGAGUGUACAUGAAAAAAUAAGAAAAAUAAAGAUUAGGAGCCAAACUAAUUGUAAGGAAAAUGAACGGAAAGAAAUACGUGCCACAUGAAUAUUCAAAUAUUAAAUUUUAAUAAAACCGCGAAAAUAAAUCAGCAUAUACCUAUUAGGAUCAAACAUUUGGGAAUAAAUAUUUUGGGAUGUAAACAACUUUUGUCUCAUAUAACAGGCAACUCAAUCCAAAUGAACAUGAAAAAGAAAGUAAAUUAACAAGACUUCUAACAAUUCAUCAGGGAAAAACAUACAUUUAAUCCUUGUCAAGGAACACGUGAACCAGCCUCAUAAAAAAAACCUCAUAUCAUAAUAUUCAAACCUGUUAUCCGUCAAACUCCACAGCAACAACAACAACAACAAAAAAUCCAUUGUAUUCCCACAGUGAUAAACAUAAUGAGUUUUGGACAAAAUCAAAUAAAAUACCCUUUCCAUUAAAAACCUUUCAUAGCAUAACUUUUAAUAGAACAUUUUUCCUUAUAUCUCCUAACGUUUUAUAACAAUAUAAUAAUACUUUAAUUAAGCGUAAUCCUUUCUCGGUAAAUAUUUCAAAUAAAGAAGGACACUAGUUUACGGCAAAGCUAUUCAACAUUUGUUAUCUUAUGAAAAGAAAGAAAGAAAGAAUUUAGACUUUUAAAAAAACUUUUCCUUUAAAAAAAAAAAAUCAAUAAAGCUUUAAAAUUAAUUGAUAAAGAAAUGGCAUCCCUUUUAAUGCAAAAAAAGAUAAAGUAAAGCAAUUGUUUGGUUUUUUUUCUUUCAACACCCCUUUUAAUAAAAAAAAAGAUGCAACUAUUUGCCCUUUCUUUCAUGCACCUCUGGUGCCAUAAACGGAACACGUAUCAAUUUUCGAAAAAAAUAAUAUGAGUAUAAUUAAUAUUUUCUUCAUUUUUUAUUUUUAGUUGACCCUCUUUUUAUUUAAAAAAAGUAAUUUGUUUCACAUUACUUGUCCCAAUUGUAAAAUCAAGAUUAUUUUAUACAUAUUUUUCCAUUCUACUCAUAUCAUUACAUGACUAAACAAAUAUACAUACUCAAAGUUAUGUUUUUUUAAAGCAUAAUUAAUAAGGCUAAUUUGAUAAAAAUAAAUUCUAUUAAUUAUUCCUUAAUGAGAGUACUAAGUUCAUAGGGCCAACUAAAAUAAAAUGGAGAGGGUAUUUAGUAUUGAUGAUAGCAUUGAAGAUAUAUUUAAAAUCUCCGCAAUACCAAAAUAAAAUUCCAGGAUGAUAACAACAACAUACCAAGGAAGGCCUAAAAUUAAUUAAUUCAUAAGAAAAGAUCAAAAUGAGGCAAUCUUACUAAAAUAGGAACGACAGCAACAAGAACACCAAAUAAACUCUAAAUAUGAAACUAGAACAUAGAUAUUGGACGAGUUAACAAAAAAAAAUAUUUAAAUAACAUUAAUUCUUAUCAACCAUUUUUACGCAUAGCCAUAAAAGAAAUAGAAUAAGCAAACAGAUCCAGACAGGCAGAGUUGAGAUAAAUGACAAGAAGCUAUAAACAAUCAUAUUUUAUUUCUAAAAAAAACUGAAACAAAAAAUGUGAAGAUGAAGGCGAUUACUGACCUUGUUUGGAGAAACGAACUAGGGCUUCAACUCAAAGACUCGAACUUCAAAUAAACAAGGGAAAAAUAGUAGGCCCCUGGAGAAUUGAUCUCUCUUCACCCUUUUAUUGUGAAGAAGACUCCCUUUUUAAAGGAAAAAGGGCUGUAGCGACUUCUUCAAGUAUCCCAAAAUUCAAAUCAAACGAAAAAAAGAGGAAGAAGGAAAAUGAGCACCAAAGUUUUCCUUUUCAAAGAUUAUGGGCUCUGCAAAAGUCAAAAUUUUUGGUGAACUUUCCGUGAUUGAAGUACGUUUGGUUGAAUUUAAUGUGAAGAGAGGAUUUUUAGGAUUGUGUUGGUCAUAUUGCUGAUGUUGCUGUUAUUUGAUUAUUAACAGCUUGUUUGGAUGGUGGUUUCCCAUGGUAUGGUAUGGUAUGGUAUGGUUACCAUGGGAACCAUGUUGUUUCCAUGAUUUUCUAAAAAUGGUGGUAUGGUGUGUUACUAUUCCAUGGUUUGAUAACCAUGGAAUGAAGCAAUUUAUUGAACCACCAAAUUGGUGGUGUGCCAUGGUUUUCAUUUUUCUUUUCCAACUAUACCCUUAUAUAAUUUUCUUUAAUCCUAUUUUAUCCUUAUCAACAAAAUACAUGCUAAGACUACGCAUUUGUUAACAAGAUCGAAGAUUGCAAGACUUCCUGUUAGCAAUAUAAAAAUUUAAAGAGUGAGAAAAAUGAUCACAGUUAUUUAGUAGUAGUAGUUUUUAAUGCCAAUAAAAACUCAAUUCGAUAAAAAAAAAUUGAAAAUUGAAAUGGAGGAAAAUAGCGUGAAUGCACAAAAAGCAUAUAUAUGGGAAGUGAUUUUUGAACUCUAAGAUACAUACAGGUAUACCAAUUGUUUUAUUGAUUGGGAAGUACUUCCCGAUUACAUUAGUUUGCUUUCGUCAAACCUUUAUUUAGAAAAUACCCUUGUGAAUUUGGUGUCUUAAAAGGAUCAUCGGGUAGCUAUGAGAAGCAUCAAGAAAGAAAGGACAACUGGCUACGCUAGCACUGAUAUGGAUAAAAGAUUUGAUAUCUCAAAUGUAUUACAAUUAGAGGCAUUUUAGUAAAUUUACCUGUUACCAUACCCUACAAUACCAUCAAACCAAACAAAAAAUCUAUUGUUAAACCGUAAUGAACGAUACACUCCAUCUAAACAUGGUACUGCACCAUACCAUACAAUAUCAUACCAUACUACACCAUACCAUACAUUGUAAGGUGAGCUGGGUCAGGGGGUUUGGUUUGGGCUAGUAAAAUGAGUUUUGGGGCUGGUCUUGCUACAUUUUAAGGAGCUAAAUUUAAUUAAAGAAUUUGGCCCAGUCGGAUCAAUGAAUUUAUCUAAUUCUCGUCGAUCCAUUUCAACUUGACUAAUUCAUCGAUGCUUAUUAAUUUUCUCAAUAUAUAUAUAUAUAUAUAUAUAUAUAUAACUAAAAAAAAAUAGUGUAAAUAUUGCAAAACAAUAUAAUAAGAUAGUAAAUAUUAUGUUAAUAUGCUAACAUAUGUUUGUUUAUUCAUUUUUUAAAAAAUAGAAUAAAAUAGUGAAAUGAUAAUUUAAAAUUUAUUUAUUUAUUUAUUUUUGAUUAAAUUUGUGAAGUGCGAUAUUAGUAAAAAAAAAUUCAUUUUCAAACUGUUAACGUUGAAACAUAUUUUGAAGAAGAAAAAAGAAAAAAAAAAAUCAAAAAUUCCAAGCAUCAAGAAAUUAAUUUUAUGAAAAGGAGAGCCAAAAUUGGGUGUCAACAAUAAUACUGAUCAUGUAGGACCAAAACACAGCAGAUUCAUUAUGGAAGCUAUUGUUCCCGAUUGCAGACUGUGGCACCAAAGACUUGGGAACCAAGCUCCUCAGGUUUUAAGAUACUUAGACAUUUUGAUGAAUCACAGUGAUGUAAAUAUGUUGAAUAAAUGCACUGUAUGUCCACUAGCUAAACAGACAAGAAUGUCAUUUCCCAUAAGUACUACUAAAUGUUCUGCAUGUUUUAAACUUGUACACAUGGAUUUAUGGGGUCCUUAUAGAACAUCUACAUUUGAUAAUAAGUGUUAUUUCUUAACUAUGGUGGAUGAUUAUAGUAGAUAUACUUAGGUUCAUCUGUUGCAGCAAAAAUCUGAGACCGUAGUAUCUAUUAAGAGAUUCAUAUCCAUAAUUAGAACACAGUUUGGAGUGGUGAUAAAGGCUAUUAGAUCUGAUAAUGGGACUGAGUUGAUAUUCAAUGUCACACAUUAUUUUAGUCUCUAGGUAUUCUACAUCAGACUAGUUGUCCUCACACUCCACAACAAAAUGGAGUGGUUGAGAUGAAGCACAAGCACAUAUUAAAUAUAGCUAGAGCUCUUAAGUUUUAGUCCCACUUGUGCAUCAAGUAUUAGGGAUUAUGUGUGAAAGCUGCAGUAUAUAUUAUGAACAAGUUACCAACCUCAGUCUUGAGUUGUAAGAGCCCAUAUCAGUUAUUAUUCUCUAAGGAUCCCAAGCUAUCUCAUUUGAGGGUGUUUGGAUAUCUGUGUUAUGUGACUGUUGUCCCUAGAGGUGAAAAGUUCUCUGAAAGAGCUAAACCUGCCAUGUUAGUAGGAUAUUCAGAGUCUCAAAAGGGUUACUUUCUACUGGACAUCCACCCAAAAAGACUAUUAGUGAGUAGGGAAGUUGUGUUUCAUGAAAAUUCAUUCCCCUUUGAUCCAUCACAAGAAAAAUUACAGCAUCCAAAACUAAUGAAGACAUCAAUGACUUUUUGGUAUCCACAGAUGAUGAAGUUGGUACUGAUAUUCGUUUAGAGGAUAUUCACAUUGAUGAUGCUGACUUUGCUGAUGCUGCACAACCUGAUGUACCUUUCUUUGAUGCAAAUUCUGAAGCUGAUUGCCAAGCUGAGCCUUCUCUGACUUAAGCUUCUUCUAAUGUUGCAGUACCUGGUGCUAUUUCACCUGACACCACUCAUAAAGAAAUAUGUCAAUAUGAACAUUCCCUAUCUCAACCCUCUUCCAGUAGACCAACAAGAAAAAGAAGGCCAUCUGUGUGGAUGCAUGAUUAUGUUGACACUUCAAAAACCCAGAGAUGCAAGCAACCCUUAGCCAACAACCAUUCUUAUAGUAAACUAAAACCUGCAUAUUAGUGGUACUUGUUAAACAUCUCCACUCUGACUGAGCCUCAACACUAUAAAAAAGCUAUAAAAUAUGAAAGAUGGGUGAAGCUAUGAAGUUAUAAAUCCAAGCAUUGGAGGCCAAUAACACAUGGACCAUUGUUGACCAGCCCAAAGAAAAGAAAACUAUUGGUUCCAAAUGGAUAUACAAGAUUAAAUAUAUUACAAAUGGUAAAGUGAAAAGGUUCAAAGAAAGAUUAGUGGACAAGGGAUAUAGCCAACAUGAAGGGCUAGAUUAUUAUGAAACAUAUUCACCAGUGGCAAAAAUGGUUACUGUCAGAAGUGUGAUUGUUGUAGCAGUAUCUAGAGGAUGGCCUCUUUAUCAAAUGGAUGUCUAUAAUGCAUUUUUUCAAAGGGAUCUUGAAGAGCAAGUGUGCAUGGAGCUUCCAGAAGGUUUUAGAAGCCAAGGAGAGCACACAAAGUUUGCAAGUUGCUCAAUUCCUUGUAUAGCCUUAAGCAGGCUUCCAAACAAUGGAACCUGAAACUAACUCAUGUUUUGCUUGAUACUGGAUUCACUCAAAGUGCUCAUGACUACUCUCUCUUCAUUCUACAUCAAGGGGAUGAAACAGUAGUAGUUGUUGUAUAUGUUGAUGACCUACUCCUUACUGGAAGCAAUGCAACAUUGAUUGAUGCAACAAAAGCCAAGUUACAUCAGCAUUUCAAGAUGACAGACUUGGGGAAUCUCAAAUGCUUCUUAGGAAUUGAAGUCCUCAAAUCCACUUCAGGGGUGAUAUUAAACAAAAAGAAGUAUUUCCUAGAAUUAAUUUUAGAUGCUGGUCUUAGUGGUUCAAAACUUGCAAUCACUCCCUUAGAAUCCAAUGUAAGGUUAAUAUCACUUGAGUAUGAUCAAGACACAGGUGCACAAGGUGAUGAUUUGUUGUCUAAUGCUUGUUUUUAUCAAAGACUAGUGGGUAAACUCAUGUAUGACAAUAUUACAAGAUCAUAUAUUAGUUUUGUAGUGCACACUCUCAGCCAUUUUAUGCAACAUCCCAAGAGAUCACACUAGGAGGUUGCUAUCAGGGUAGUCAGGUACCUUAAAGGCUCUAUUGGUCAAGGAAUCUGGGUAAAGGCUGAGCAUUAUACCACUCUAACUUGAUGGUGUGACUUAGAUUGGGCUGCUUGUCCCAACACCAGGUGAUCAGUUACUGGUUAUGCAGUUCAUUUUAGUGAAUCUUUAAUUUCUUGGAAGUCCAAGAAAUAGCAUACUAUUUCCAGGAGCUCCGCUGAAGCUGAGUACAGAAGCAUGGCUUCAACAGCUGCAGAGAUAACUUGGUUGGUUGGUUUGUUCCAGGAACUCAAGGUUCCCAUUACCUUGCCCAUAUUAGUCUUUAGUGAAAGCAAUUCAACAAUUCAAUUGGCCAAUAAUCCUAUGAUUCUUGAGAGAACAAAACACAUAGAGAUUGACUGCCAUUUCAUCAGGGACAAGAUCAAAAGUAAACUGAUAAAGCUAUAUAUGUUCACACCGAUGUAUAGGUGGCUGACCUUUUUACCAAGGGACUAAGCCAAGCCAAACAUUCUCAUUUAUUAGGCAAGCUUGGUGUGUAGAAUAUAUUGCACCCUGUAGCUUAAGGGGGCGUGUUUUAACAAUUGAUCCAAGCUCAAAGUAUGAUCUCAAGUUAUGAUACACAUAGCACAGAACCACAGAAAACUAACUGUUCCAUUGGAUGGAAGGUUCUGGAAGCUUCUCAAUUGUUAGUCAGUUAGCAAUAGUACGUUGUUAGAGGUUGUUAGGCAAGUGGUUAGUCAGUUAUGAUGAAUUGUCACUAAGCUGGAAAUGAGGUCACUAUCUUAGCUCAAGUAUAUAAAUAGCUACAAUGUUGUAAUGUGCAGACGAUGAAGAAUAAAAUUUCCAACUACACUCUGUCCUUUCUUCUUCCUUCUUCCUUUUAUUUUUGUGAUCUUUUGCUAUAUAAACAACUCCUCCUCAAAGAAUGAUGAGACAACUUACAAUUUACACACUCUGGAUAAUAAGCUCACGUGAGUCCCUCUAUUCUUAGCCAAGAAUUUAUUUUUAUGCAGAUUUAACUUAUAUACAUUGACAACUUAAAUUUUUUUUUUACAACAAGUGUGUUUUAAUCUGUUGUAGCGGUAACAUGUAAAUUCUUUAUAUAAGCAUCUCAUUUUCCUAUUCCUUUCUUCCCAUAUUAUAGUAUACUAUUCAACAACAACAAUAACAUACCCAGUGUAAUCCCAUAUAGUGGGGUUUGGGGAAAAUAAAGUGUACGCAGAUCAUACCACUACCUCAGGUAAAGUAGAGAGGUUGUAUUAUAGUAUACUAUUCACUAUGGAAAACUCCCAACAACCUCUAGCCACAGAGAAUUUUUCAUAUAGUUGGUUGUUGAAUAGAAAACCAUCCAUUGAUGGCCUAACAGAAUCCCCUAGACCCUCUUAUAGUAGUCAUGAUGAUGCUAAGGAAGAGUUAAAAUUUAUCGCUUAUUUGAAAAGAUUCCUAAAAGAAGAACAAAACUUCAACUUUGAUGUUCAUCCUGUUUCAGACUAUGUUUGUGCUGAUGAAAUCUUCUCUGAUGGAUAUUUCAUGCCUCGAUAUCUUGAUAGAUCAAAGAUUGAAUCUUUUGUGAAGCCUUCAAUAAUUUCAACACAAAUUCAUCAGUACCCUCAACUAGUACUCCUCCCACACCAAUAUCUAAACUUUCAAAUUCCACAACUACUUAAGCUGAUUUUCUUGAAAAAUGGAGAAAGUUUUCGCGCAAAAUCUUGGUUAAGUGGUUUGGAUUCGUAAGGACAAUCUCCAAAAGUAUAACAAGUUCAAGAAAAAGUACUGAAAAAGUUGAUGACCUUCAAAGAAAAGUAAGUGAAAUUCAAAGCUGCAAGAGUACUACUGAUACUUCAUUUCAGGGAUCUCCUCGUUGAAUGUUGAAAUCUUAUUCUGUUGUCAAUUGGUGUGGAAAUGAUAACAACCAAAGAAGAAGUAGUAGUACUAGAAGAGUUAAAAGUUUGAGGAAGGUGAAAAAAUGGAGUAAUAUUAACUCACCACAUGAGGCUUGUUCCCCUAUAAAAAGUCCAUCCAAUGAUCAUUCUACUUAUGUUUGGCGUGAGAAGGCGAUUUCUAAUGUAAUUUUGUACUGUAAGAGAUCGUAUGUCAACUGAGCCUGAUAUCGAUCAUCGUGAUCGUUUUGACCAGAAGAAGCAAUUCUAGAUGUUAAAUUUCAUCCUUAAAUUUUUUUCUCAGAUUUAUAUUUAGAUUUUUGUCUCUAUCAUGUAUCACUCAGAUUCAAUAUUUUAUACAUUCUGAUGUGAAAACGAAAAACUUAAAAUACACAAGCACACCCAUCUUGCUUGUGGUGGACAGUUAAUUGCACUAAGAGCAACUUAAGAUAGAAUUAGAAAGAAAUUAAAAGGGACAAAGGAUUUAAUUUGAUUGAAUGCAAGUUGAGGGAGAACUCAUUACUGCAAUUUUCAUAAUUUUCCCACUUAUUAUCCUUAAAAUUCUGAUAUAUGUAAUCAGAUGGGAAAAAAUCGGGAUUUAUUAUAUACAAAUUAAAGGAUGACAUAAUUAAGAUAUGAAGAUAAUAUUAGUCGAUAGAUAAACAAAACAAAUAUCAAAUUAAUGACGUUUUACAUUCGGUUCCACUUUAAAAAGUUUUGAUAUGUUAGUUUUUAGGCACACUCUUAGUACAAGCACUAUGAAUAAAUAUGAAUAUCAAAUCAAUGCCCACUAUUUGUUUAAAACAAAAAAUGCCUAAGCUUACGUGACUAAAAUAUAAAGUUUACCAUACAACUCCUACAAAGGUACAAAUUAAAUCUUGGAGCAUGAGUGUAUAUAUAUAUAUAUAAAUCUGAUGUGUACAUUAUUUUGACAUACUUAACCACCAAUUCAUGAUAACUUAUAAAGCUGUAUUCCUCCAAUAAACACAUGGUAAUUUGAAGUCUCAAUCUCCAACAGUCCUCAAACAACCUUAACCAACUCAAUCUUAAAGUACAACAGAUAAGAAACGAGUUUGGAACAAGGUGUUAUUUUUUAGCAAAUAUUGGUAAGGAAAAUGAGGUGCCUACAAGUUUUGGAAUGGAGAGUCAACAUGCCGGAUGGCUCAUCGCGAAUUUUAGUGCCAGAGUCCAGGCAAACAUGCAAGUUUAUCAGUAGAUUGCAAGGCAUAAUUAACUUUUUGAUUUUUAACUUUUAAGUCACUUAAAAAUAAUAAUCCAAACGUCCUAUUACGUUGAAGUCAUGAAGUGUCGUUGGACUUUCAUAAUUGAUUUAGCUUAAUUAUAUUAAUACUCCCUCCAUCUCAUUUUACUCAUCUCAAUUUGACAUUGCACAUUGUUUAAAAAAAAAAAUUAUAACAUGGCUAUUUACCAUAGUAUUUCUAUUAAAUGAUGAUUACAUUUUAAUUUGGAGAUAAAAUAAUUAAUAUUAAAGGUCAAAAAGAAAAAAAAAUUAUCUUAUCUUGAUUAAUGAAAAAUACCAAGUAAAAUAAAAAAAUCAAAUUAGAAAAUUUGGGACGAGUAAAAUGGGACGGGAGAGUAUUUAUUAUUAUAACACACAUAAUUUAUUUGUGAGGAAAAAAGAGACUUAAGUAUAAUAUAUCUUUUUUAAGAAUAAAUUGUUCAUAAAGCACUUAAUAUUGAAGUAGACAGUUUUAAAAAUUUGAAGGCAGUUGAUGUGAAACGUAAAAAAUGAGCGUUAAUUACAAUGUUAUCCCUAUUUAACUUCUUUUCCAAGUAGAACUAGAAGAUUUUCCAAUUGCUUCCUUAAUACAGUUAUACUUAACAAAAAUGAGUGUGAAUUUACAAUAUUACCCCUACUUAAAUCCUUUUCCAAGUAGAGCUAAGAGAAGCUUUCCAAUUGCUUCCUUUAUAAUAAACCAACUCCCCUGCAUUGCAACUCCAUAUCCUUCAAUUUUCUCCUCCAACAACAAUGGUGAAAUCGACGAAAGUUCACUAUAUGCUUACGGAAUUGGAAAUGGAUGGGGCUUUGCAGUUAAUUCAGCUUAGCCGAGAUUCUUAUAAUGACGAAGAAAGCAGGGAAAUACACAGGAGACAUCUUAUUCUUCAACGGCCACGGCUAAAUUAAUAAGGAAAAGGAAUUUCCGGUCAGUCGUUGAUCUCUAUGAAGAGACUCAACCAUUGAUAAAGAUGAUGAUGAAGAAGAAUAAGCAUUGAACAGGCUUUGAAAAUUAAACCUUAGUUAUACAUAGUAAUGUUAUGUAAAUUAAUCAUACGCAAUUAAUUCGGUGUACAAUAAUCCAAUUGUAUAAGUAAGCAUAUUACUGUACUAAACUCAAUCAACUUUUAUGGUAUAAGCUUUGUUGGGAUGUAAAUUUCUAAGACCUUUUGUUAGAAUUUCAUUAUAUGUAGUUGUAAGGCCUGUUACUCUUUAGAUUAUUUUCUUUACUAAAGUUGAACGAUAGUUGGAUCAUGUGGGUGAAAAUGAAGGACUGCAAACAUGUUAUAACAGGAUAUGUGUCGCGACCCGAGCCAAGUCACUGGCCGCAACGGGCAUCCCGAAUCAUCAAGGACCGAGAGACCCAUAUCUCUGCCCAACCCACUAGUGAUAUUGUCCACUUUGGGCCCAGGCCCUUGGCAUUAAAACACAUCACUAGUUAGUAAGACUUGCUUACUUAUAUACCUAGUAUCCCUCCUACUUUUGCCGAUGUGGGACUCCUUCCUAAGUUGGGGUGUUUCAUACACCCCCUUUAUGGACUCAGUGUCCUCGCUAAGGUUUUCCCCACCGAAUGAGAUUUGGCUACACUCAGGACUAAAGUUUUCCCCGCCUUAUCAGGAUGAUAGAGCAAACUUAAAUCAUAGUCCUUGAGUAACUCAAGCCACCUUCUCUGCCUGAGAUUCAACUUCUUCUGACUGAAAACAUAUUGGAGUCUUUUAUGAUUAGUGGAAAUAUCAACAUGUACCCCAUAAAGAUAGUGAUGCCAAAUCUGUAAAGCAUGGACACAGUUGCUAAUUCAAGAUCGUGAGGGGGUAAUUCCCCUCAUUAUUUUUAAGUUUUCUCGAGGCAUAGGCUAUAACCUUACCACGUUACAUCAAUACACAACCAAUACCAAACCGUGAAGAAUCACAAUAAACCACGAAGCCUUUAUUUCUGUCCGGUAAAGUCAACACUGGGGCGAAGGUCAAUCUAUCUGUUAGCUCCUGAAAACUCUUAUCACAUCCCUCUGACCAUUGAAACUUGACCAUUUUCUGAUUCAAUCUAGUUAAAGGAACGACAAUGGAGGAAAAUCCCUCCACAAAUCUCCUGUAGUAACCAGCUAGACCCAUAAAGCUUCUAAUUUCAGAAGGUGUAGUAGGUCUGGGCCAAUUUUUCACUGCCUCAAUCUUUUGAGAAUCAAGCUGAAUGUCUUUACCAGAAAUAAUAUGGCCCAAAAAUGCUACCGACUCCAACCAAAAUUUACACUUGGAGAAUUUAACAUACAGCUCACGGUUCUUAAGUGUUUGAAGAGCAAUCCUGAGAUGAUUAGCAUGCUCCUCCUUACUUUGAGAGUAGACCAAAAUAUCAUCAGUGAAGACAAUUACGAACAUAUCCAAUUAUGGUUUAAACACCUCUAUUCAUAAGGUCCAUAAAAACUGCAGGAGCAUUAGUCAAACCAAAGGACAUAACUAAAAAUUCAAAGUGACCAUAUCGAGUUCAGAAAGCUAUCUUCGAAGUAUCACAUUCUGUAACUUUUAAUGGAUGGUAACCAGAUCUUAGAUCUAUUUUAGAAAAAUACUUGGCAUCCUGUAGCUGAUCGAAUAUCUAUUCUAGGAAGGGGUACUUGUUCCUUAUAGUGACUUUAUUCAGCUGGCGAUAAUCGUUGCACAUCUGAAGUGAACCAUCCUUUUUAUGCACGAACAAGACUGGAGCGCCCCAAGGAGAAAUGUUAGGCCUUAUAAAACCUUUAUCAAGAAGAUCUUUCAACUGCUCUUUCAACUUUCUUAACUCUGCAGGAGCCAUUUUAUAUGGUGGAAUGGAGAUAGGCUGAGUGUCGGGAAGAAGAUCAAUCCCAAAAUCUAUUUCUCUAUCGGGAGGAACUCCUAGAAGAUCGUUAGGAAAAACUUUUGGAUACUCAUUGACAACAGGAACAAACUGGGUAUAUAAGUAAGUAAGACUUACUAACUAGUGACGCGUUUUAAAGUCGUGCGGGCCUGAGCCCAGAGCGCAUAAUAUCACUAGAGGGUUGGGCAGAGACAGGGGUUUCUCAGGACUUUGUUGGUCCAGGAUGCCCGGCACGGCCAGGGCCUCAGCUCGGGUCGUGACAGUUGGAAAGAGACAGGGGUCUCUUGGGCCUUUGAUGGUUCGGGAAGCCUGUCUCGGCUAGGGACUUGGCUCGGGUUGCAACAAUAUGCCUUCUUACGUGAACUCAUGAUUACAAAUUGAGAAAAAAUGUUACCAGUAGCUAUAUGCAUUACAAACUAAUUUUUACUACUAACCUCCAAGUUAAAACUAGUCAAUUUAUGACUGAGUCCUCACAAUACAGAUUAGGGACAUAAGAUGAAAUUAAAUUGAGCCCAUGGUCAGGGAGAAUUCACUUACCUCAGCUUGUUUUGGUUGUAUCAAAAUCAAUUUUACACAACCUCUCAUUUUCCAACAACAAUAGCUACACUCCAUUGCGCUAGUAAUGGAUGUGUUAACGCGGCGUAUCCAAGGGGAGGUGCCGUGGUGUAUGCUUUUUGCAGACGAUGUAGUCCUGAUAGAUGAGACGCGAGGGGGUGUGAACGACAAAUUAGAGCUGUGGAGGCAAACUCUGGAGUCUAAAGGGUUCAGGGUGAGCAGAACCAAGACAGAGUAUGUGGAAUGUAAGUUUAAUGACGUAAGGCGAGAGAAUGAGGUAGUGGUGAGGCUAGAAGCGCAGGAGGUAAAGAAAAGGGAUAAGUGCAAGUACCUCGGGUCCGUGAUCCAGAGUAACGGUGAGAUUGACGAGGAUGUCUCGCACCGUAUCGGGGCGGGAUGGAUGAAGUGGAAACUUGCAUCGGGGGUGCUGUGUGAUAAGAAGGUGCCGCCCAAGCUUAAAGGUAAAUUCUAUAGGGUGGUAGUCCGUCCGGCCUUGCUGUAUGGAGCGGAGUGUUGGCCAGUUAAGAACUCCCACACCCAAAGAAUGAAGGUGGCAGAAAUGCGGAUGUUGCGCUGGAUGUGUGGACUGACCCGAAGGGAUAGAGCUCGGAAUGAGACUAUCCGGGAGAAGGUUGGGGUGACUUCAGUGGAGUGUAAGAUGCGGGAAGCACGAUUGAGAUGGUUCGGACACGUGAAGAGGAGGGGCAUGGAUGCCCCGGUCCGUAGGUGUGAGAGGCUAGCGUUGGAUGGUUUUAGACGGGGUAGGGGUAGACCGAAGAAGUACUGGGGUGAGGUGAUUAGGCGGGACAUGGAACAGUUACAGCUUACCGAGGACAUGACCCUAGAUAGGAAGGUCUGGAAGACGCGAAUUACGGCAGAGGAUUAGGGCCUGUUCGGGUCGCUAAUGUAGGGAGGUAAUUGGUGGGGGUGUAUUCCUGGUAUGAUUCCGUAUUCAAUGUUCUGUUCCGUGUUCCGUGUUCUAUGUUUGUUACGAAUCUGUGUGCUUUCCUCUGCUUUAUAUUCCUGCAUCCCUGCUUUACUCUGUUUUAUAUUCCUUAUGGCUGCAGUAUCUAUGUUAUGUCAUCUGCUUCUGUGCUGUACUAUGUGUUUGUUUGAUAUCUCGUAACUUGAGCCGGGGGUCUUUCGGAAACAGCCUUUCUACUUCAUCAGAGGUAGAGGUAUGGACUGCGUACAUCUUACCCCCCCCAGACCCCACAAAGUGGGAAUACACUGGGUUUGUUGUUGUUGUUGUUGUUGUAAUAGCUACACUCCAUUCCAAACAAGUUGUGAUCGACUACAAAAAUCCUUUUGUAUUUCUCCAUUUAAGCUCACAUCUAGAAAACUUAACUUAAGUAUUUCCAAGGUUUCAAAUUGUCAAUGCCACAUAGUUCAUUAAAUUGCAUUUGUUUGGAAUCAACAAGUUUGACCGAUAUGAACACCACUUAAAUCUCUUAUAACACAGACUUUACAUUAUUUUCAUUAUUCAUCGAAUUUUGAAUCGUGCAAAUCUCUUAUGAGGUAGAUUUUUGCAUGGUGUGUUGACGUAAUCAAACAUUUCUUAUGAACCAACUUAAACAAAUACACACCCACACUCUCCGAAAUGGCAUUGACUUUACCCAGUAAUUGAUCACCAAACAUGUUGAAAUCCCAAACAUCCGGUACGCCCAUGGUGUUCGACAAUAUUACCAAACCGUCUUCCUCUACAACAAGCUCAUUCAAGCCUGUUCUUCUCAUGGGCUUUCUAACCUGUGUUUUUCUCUCUACAUCCAGAUGCACCGUCAAGGCUGCUCUCCUAAUCCCACAUCCUUCAUGUUCGUCUUCGCCGCAAGCGCCAAUCGUUCUAGCCCNNNNNNNNNNNNNNNNNNNNNNNNNNNUCAAAUGGGGUUUUGAACUUGAAAUUUACACGUUAACUGCACUUGUUGACAUGUAUGCUAAAAUGGGGUUGUUGCCUUCUGUGCGGAAGCUCUUUGAUGAGAUGGAAAUGAAGGAUGUGCCUACUUGGACUUCUUUGAUUGCUGGGUAUGCCAAGAAUGGAAAUAUGGAAGAAGCUUUCAAGUUGUUUUCGGAAAUGCCUUUGAGGAAUGUGAUUUCUUUGACUGCGAUGAUCUGUGGAUGUUCGCAAAAUGGGAAGUAUGCGGAUGCACUAGCUGUUUACAAGGAAAUAGAGAAAGCCGGAGGGGUAAAAUUCAAGAAUUGAGGCUCGCAGGUUCAGGUUACUCAGGUAAAAUACCAUCAAGUUACACACACCUUCUUAACUACAUUGUCACUUCAGAACAAUCGAUUGACAGGCAAGAUUCCUAUGGAAUUUAUGAUCUUUUCACACAUGUAUCACUUGAAUUUGAGCAGAAAUGUGUUGUCUGAUGUUUUGCCAUCUAUUUCAAGUUUCUUGAAAAUAUUUGAUAGGAACUUGGACUUGAAUCUUUGUUUGUGCUUUGUCUAUUACUAUGGCUUUGUUGUAUCCUUUAGAAUUGUUUUUUUAGGAAUUUAGGCUUUGUUCCAUGAGGCUCAUGAAGAUGCCUAAAAUGCUGAAUCGGACAUGGUCAAUAAUGCCAGAGUUGCGGUCGAGUCUUCCUCGCAGAUGACAAGAUAAUACGACUAACAAGAACAAGCAGAAGCUUCCUGUUGUGCUGCCUUCCCCUGCCUCAACAUCACAAGUGCAUAAUGGUAGUAAUCACACUAAAGUUUGUACUCAACAAGAGAAGUUGAAUUCUUCUCUUGAGUUAUUAACCAAUGGAAACAUCAGCACCCUCGCAAGAUGCAAAGAAAUCAGCAGUCCAAUAUACAUACAAAUAAGUUUCAGGGAGGGGAUGCGGUUGUUUGGGCACCUGUGCAGUCUCAAAGCAAAACUGAAGACGCUGGUGAAACAAAUUAGAAAACUGGAUCUAAUUCAAUUGGUCCUUAUAAUACGAUGAUGAUAAAGGGAAAGAAAUGUCAACGCACAACAAACCUUUUAACACUCUACAGAACUGAGCCUUUUAGCUCCACAAUAAUUGAAUAAAAAAUCUGCAAACGUAAACAGAGGAGCAAAAAGUAUCACCUAUAAAACCUCAUAGCUUCAUCUCAACCUCUUUUGACUUCAUCACACCAGCCACGACAGUAUAAUAACUAAAGUAAUGCCACAUGCAGGACACAACUCAACACACGACUAAAAACUAACGGAAAUAUGAAGUAUGGUCACUUGUUUCCAAAAAGGUAUAAUUAUAUAUGUCAGAAUUCCACAAGAAACAAAUCUGUCAUUACACCUUCCAAGCAACUUGAAACUAACGAUACAGAAGUGCCUCUUCGAAGUUUUAAUAUCAACAAUUAGCUAAGAUGAUGAACAAUGCAGUCAUAGUGUCAACAAAAAAUGAGGUCUUCAUGAUGCUAAACAACAAAAGAUGAAAUAGUAGCUCCAAGCCACAGGAAUCAAAUGUAUGGAAAAGAUUCCAAUUGUAUGUGUUCUUCAUUUACUUUUUAUCUUUCUCCCAAAAGAGGAAUGUGCAAUGUAAGAGGUUUACCUUUCUCGUGUGUUCAAAGCAACUGGAUUGCCUACUGAGGCAGCUCUCAAAGUUUUGGUGGAAAAGAUGGGAGUACCAGAUAGCAAAGCAAGGAGCAAGAUUCGGGACGCACAGAUUGUAUCGAGCUAUUGGAUCGAUCGCAACACAGUUAAAUUAGGUGAGCAUACUUUUACUUCACCCAUCUAUCUAUUUGCUACUAUUUUCGAACUAGCGUAUUGAUAUUUUUUAAUAUAGGAUGCUGUGAUUGGUGGAUGAAAAGAUCGAAAAGGGUCCAUUUGAUUGUGUGCCUAAAUCCAUGGGUGUUAUUGUGCGGGAGCCAAAUGGGACUUGUCAAGGUUGUUUCAUGUCAUCAAUAGCAAUGGAGUCGGGUGCAAUUGCACUUUUUUUUUAAUAACUGUUGUCUUAACUACAUUAGACACUAGGGAAAAUAACUUUUUUUUUAAUAACUGUUGUCUGUACUACAUUAGACACUCUAAAAUAUUUUUCUUUAUUUGUUUGCUGGCUUCGAUAUACUCAGAUUGCCAUAAAAAUUCUUAUCUUUAGUCUAAUUCUAGUAAUCUUGUUGGUUGCCGUGGGCUGUAUAUGCCUCGGAAAUUUCAAUUGGCAAGCAACUGAAUCGGUAUUAUUUUAUCUAUAGAAGUAGGUUCAAUGUUGUUCCUUUACAAGAUGUUGUGUCCGUUUAACUGUUUUUUAUUGUUCUUCAGUUUCCAAAAGUAAAAAAAUUCACACCAAUAGUUUGAAGUGUUAUAUGUCCUUUGUGCAAACAAUUCUUCUGUGGAGUCCAGCUCCACAACAUGAUAUUUAAUCUAGGAAAUGCUUAGUUUUUUUUGAUGUGUUGAACUCUGUCAUAGAAGUUGAUCUUGGUAAUAUCUGGACAUCUGAUUAAAACAUGUUUUGUCUAGGGUGCUGUUGAGAGUUUGCUAGAAUGUAGUACACACAUUCAACUUGCAGAUAGAUCAACUGUUCCAAUUGACGAGUCUUGUAGGCAACUAUUGUUGUCGAGGCUCUUGGAGAAGAGCUCAAAGGGUCUGCGGUGCUUGGGCUUGGCAUAUAAAGAUGACUUAGGUGAGCUUUCAGGAUACAAUGCUGAGACUCAUCCUGCCCACAAGAAGCUGCUUGAUCCGUCCUGAUGCUGCUCCAUUGAAAGUGAUCUAGUUUUUGUGGGAGUUGUUGGACUAAGGGUGAGUAGUGUUAAGUUUUCAAGAAUAAUGAAUCUAGAAAACCUUCAUUUUCCAUAUAGUUUGACAAAAAAACUGAAAUGCAGGACCCACCAUGUGAGGAAGUUCAUAAGGCAGUAAAUGACUGCAGAAGAGCUGGGAUCAAAAUCAUGGUUAUAACUGAAGACAAUAAAUCCACUGCUGAGGCCGUUUGCAGGGAAUUCAGUUGUUUUCUCAUGGUGAGAAUCUUAAGGGAAGUAGUUUUACUGGCAAAGAAUUCAUGGCACUUUCUUCUCAGCAACAAAUUAAGAUAUUGUCACAAGAUGGAGGCAAGGUAUUUUCUCGUGCUGAACCCAGGCACAAACAAGAAAUUGUAAGGAUUCUGAAGGAUAUGGGUGAAGUAGUUGCAAUGCCUGGAGAUGGUGUCAAUGAUGCACCUGCACUAAAAGUUGCUGACAUUGGAAUAGCCAUAGGCAUUACAGGAACUGAGGUGAAAUAAGCUUUUCCGGUGUGGUCGUUACAACUCAUUUUAGUGUUACAUACUUGCGUUAGUGCUCUCCAUCCAGUUAUUUAACCAUGUAAUACCUGACAUACAGUUUUGAAAUAGGAGAGUAGUGAGGUCUACUGAGGGAUUACUCGCCAUGCUGUGACAGUUUAUUAUCUAAAUCUCAAGAAGUAGCCAUGAUUGUGCACCUUGCAUGCGAAUUUUUUCUGCAUAUGUGAACUCAUUGGUCAUUUAAUUAAUUAGCUAAUCAAAGACUAAUAUUUUUAGGUUGCAACAGAAGCUUCUGAUAUGGUCCUGGCAGAUGACAAUUUCAGUACUAUAUUCUCUGCUGUUGCAGAGGGACGUGUGAUCUACAAUAACAUGAAGGCCUUCAUCAGGUUAGUCUUGUAUUUCGGGAAGUGAAUGUUUGAUUAUUCCUACAAUUAGUCAUGCCUUUAUUUUACUUAAUAUCAUAUGUAUUCUUUGCUGAUGCAGAUAUAUGAUAUCAUCCAACGUUGGUGAGGUCAUCUCUAUUUUCUUGACUGCUAUUUUGGGCAUACGAAAAUGUUUGAUACCUGUGCAGUUGCUCUGGGUAAAUUUGGUAACAGAUGGUCCACCUGCUACAGCUCUCGGACUUAACCCUGCCGAUGUUGAUAUAAUGCAGAAACCACCUAGGAAGAGCAAUGAUGCUCUCAUAAACUCCUGGGUUUUCUUCCGUUAUAUGGUCAGUUUGGAUCGCUAUUUCUUAUUCUUCGAUGUGUAUUGCUAAUGUUGCUGCAUUUGUUUUGUAUUUUGCUACUUUGUUGUCUCUUUUAUUACAGUCCUGCAUCAGAUACUGUCCUUUUGAGCAAGGGUCUUUCAGAAACACAGCCUCUCUACAAAGGUAGGGGUAAGGUCUGCAUACAUACUACCCUUUGUACAUCUUAUCCUCCCUAGAUUCAAUCACACUGGUUAUGUUGUUGUAAGCUAUAUUAAUUCUUCAAUUUUCUCGAAUGGUUUGAAAUAAAACUACUUCGUCUUUUUCCUUUUUUCCCAAGUAUUUAUUGUACUUUGUUUUCCUAAGUACGUGAAGAAAGUACUAAUGAUGAGAAUGACUCAUUUGAUUAGAAGAACCAAUGGUACAGGUUGUGCUUACUGCAGCAUUUCCCUAGCCGUGGUGGAUAACCCCUCUUAUGCUGUAUAAAAUUAUCUUUACUUUCAGCUUAUUACGAAAAGUAAUAUGUGCAAUCAAGGAAAAUAUGUUUACCCAUCUGGAUCACCUCCCUUCAUAAGCAAAGACUAUUAUCUUCUAGAUCAUGAUAACAUAAGCUGCCCAGUAAAAGAAAUCGAUGAAUCAAAGAGAGAAAUGAGAUGCUCUUUGUCUAAGCAACCAACUAUAUCUUUUUAUCAUAUUUUAUCUAUUCUUCAGUAUAUUGAACAGACUUCUCGACAAGCUAAGCAGCAUCAUACAUUCUGAUUUCUGAGAUAAUUUUCAGGUCAUUGGUUCUUAUGUGGGCAUUGCAACUGUCGGCAUAUUUAUAGUGUGGUACACCCAGGCUUCUUUUCUUGGUAUUAAUAUUGUGAGUGAUGGCUACACACUUGUUGAACUAUCACAGCUUCGUAACUGGGGUUGAGGCUCAGCAUGGCCAAAUUUCACCGUGAGUCCAUUCAAGGUUGGUAACCGCCUGAUCACCUUUUCUGACCCUUGUGAGUAUUUUACUGUCGGUAAAGUGAAGGCCUUGACACUGUCACUCUCUGUCCUGGUGGCAAUUGAGAUGUUUAAUUCUCUCAAUGCCCUCUCUGAAGACAACAGCUUGAUCAAAAUGCCACCUUGGAGAAAUCCUUGGCUUCUUAUUUCAAUAUCAGCGUCGUUUGGCCUACAUAGCCUGAUACUCUAUGUUCCUUCCCUAGCAGAUAUAUUUGGUAUUUUCCCACUAAGCCUAAAUGAAUGGCUUCUAGUCAUCUUGCUUUCUGCACCAGUUAUUCUUAUUGAUGAAGUCCUCAAAUUUGUGGGGAGGAGGAGAAGAAGAACUAAACUAACAGCUGCAUAAUGUAUUCGUAUAUGCUCAAUUUUAUUGAUUAAAGGAGGUUUUCUUUGAGUAGAUAUGCAAGUUAGGUGGGAAUUCAUGUAUAUUGUUUAGAAAUGAAAAUAUUUUUGGGGUGACAUUGUUGAGGAACUCUGGAAGCUAUGUUGCCUGCACAUGCCUUGGAAGGCUUCUUGUUAUCACAAAAGUCAAGGUUUCUGAAGCAAAACCUAUUGCUUUUUACCUGAUCCUUUCUAGGAGGUUUUUUCAUGUAUUACAAGUUCUAAUUUGUAUUAUUCAUUUAUAAUUGUCUCUGCCAUCUUACGCAGAGUUUCAUGGACUUAAGUGACCGUUUUGGUUUGGUGCUUUAACAUGUAUAUUUCCUCAGUCAUUGCUAUAGUUGUAGUUCUCUUUUUUCUUUUCAAGUUGCUGUUAGUGCGGAACUAGUGAUGACAGCAAGGAGGGUGUUGGACACUUCAAGCUUUACCACGCCCUGAUUUUCAGAAACAUACAUAGCUUGAAUUGUUUGUGAUUCAAGUUGGUGGUUAGGAGGAAAUUACUUCACUCUAGCCAAAAUAGGAAGGAGAGAAAUGUAGGUCCAAAAACCGUUCAGAUUUUUUUGCUACAAUUCUAUUCAACCAUAGAAUCCAAAUCAAUAUCAACGUUGCUAACAACAAAUUUCAAUCUAGUGGUGACUUAAGAAGUGCAUAUAUCUCAUUUGAUUUUGGAUGGGAUUUAUCCUCUACUAUAAACUUAUGAAUAUCACCUCCUUCCUCGAUGAAGCUGUACCCUGCUGCAUUUGUAAUCUGGGAGGACUUCAUCAGUUUCCUGAACCUUGCAACACCAUCCCACAGACCAGCUCUUGCAUAGAUAUUUGAGAGAAUAACAUAAUUCCCAGGAUUCCAUGGCUCCAACACAAAAAGGAAUUCGACUUGUUCAGCCAGUUCAACAUUGCCAUGGAAACUGCAGGCUCCAAGCAGAGUUCCCCAUAUACCAUUAUCAGGUCUCAUUGGCAUGCUUUGUAUAAGAUCAUAAGCUUCCUGCAAUCUCCCAGCCCGGCCUAAGAGAUCAACCAUACAGCCAUAGUGUUCUAAUUUUGGAGCUAUGGAGAAUCUUCUCUCCAUCACUUUUGAGGAGUUCCCAGCCCUUCUCUACCAUGCCUCCAUGUGUGCAUGCUAAGAUUGCUCCGACAAAUGUUACAUCAUCAGGUGCAUUUCCUUCUCCCUGUGUGAUACAAGUCAAAAAUACUAAAACUGAAACGUCACACAAAUAAUGGAAAAAACUAAAAACAAAGAAACAAGAUAGAAAAUUAAAGGGAUAGAUAGAUUGACACAAUGAGAUAAAGAGAGGACAAUCUAAGGAUAUUUCAAACCCGAAGACCUUCCUAUCGAAAUAUCACAAGCACCAACCUCUUACGAGGACCUCACGGGAAUGGACCCAAGCAACCCACGUUUCUCACAUUCAAUGUAACUCCUAACAAGUUACCACUAAACACUCUCAAGUGUAAAGGCCAUGGGUCUUUACUAUACAAUGGGCCCAAAAGUGACCCUAAAAGCUAUUGGGCCCAAAAGUGACCCAAAUCCCAAAAUAAUGUCAUGGGCAUUCAUGCUCUCUCGAAACCCACGUUAUCUUCCAAACACGUCGUGGCUCAAUGCUUCCAUGGAUGACAUCAUCAAAUGUAGCUUCUCGUGCUCCAAGCUAUCAUCCACACACGUAUUUGUUCCCCUAAAACAACCAAAUCUUGGAUCCAUAGAUGUGAUCCUUGAAGCAUCGAUCCCAAAGGAGUGGAGCCCAUUGAUCUUGUAUAACUGUGUCGACAGCACAACACUCGUGUAAAUUCCACUAUAAAAGCUCAUGCUUGCUGUUGUAAUUGGACGUUUGAUAAGCACAACAACGGUAAAGAAGAACAAAGAGAAUAUUUGCAAAGGCUUACCAGCAUUUGAUUGAAAAGCUUAAGAGCUUCAUCACUUUUUCCAUGGACAGCUAACCCCAUGAUCAUGGUAUUCCAAGAACACAAGUUCCUCCUCCUACCAAUCUCGUGAAAGAGUUGCAUUGCCCUAUCAUUCUAACACACUUUGUAUACAUUUCAAGCACAGCAUUACAAACAAACAUAUUCUUAAAGCAUCCACUUGCUCUUGCAUAAACUUCAAUCUUCUCACCAACCUCCAGUGCUCCAAGAUUUGCACAAGCUGGAAGAACACUAGCAAUCUUAACUUCAUUAGGCUUUACCCCUCUGGCUUUCUCCAUUUCCUUAUAAACAGCUAGUGCAUCCGCAUACUUCCCAUUUUAUGAACAUCCACACAUCAUCGCAGUCAAAGAAAUCACAUUCCUCAAAGGCAUUUUCGAAAACAACUUGAAAGCUUCUUCCACAUUUCCAUUCUUGGCAUACCCUGCAAUCAAAGAAUUCCAAGUAGGCACAUCCUUCAUUUCCAUCUCAUCAAAGAGCUUCCGCACAGAAGGCAACAACCCCAUUUUAGCAUACAUGUCAACAAGUGCAGUUAACGUGUAAAUUUCAAAUUCAAAAACCCAUUUGAUGAAAUGAACAUGAACAUUUGGUUUUGAAAGGGGGUAGAACGAUUGGCGCUUUUGGCGAAGACGAACGUGAAGGAGUGUGGAUUAGGAGAGCAGCCUUGACGGCGCAUCUGGAUAUAGAGAGAAAAACACUGGUUAGAAAGCCCAUGAGAAGAAUAGGCUUGAAUGAGCUUGUUGUAGAGGAAGACGGCUUGGUAAUAUUGUCGGACACCGUGGGCGUACGGGAUGUUUGGGAUUUCAACAAGUUUGGUGAUCAAGUACUGGGUAAAGUCAAUGCCAUUUCGGAGAGUGUGGGCGUGUAUUUGUUUCAGUUGGUUCAUAAGAAAUGUUUGAUUACGUCAACACACCAUGCAAAAAUCUACCUCAUAAGAGAUUUGUACGAUUCGAAAUUCGAUGAAUAAUGAAAAUAAUGUAAAGUUUGUGUUAUAAGAGAUUUAAGUGGUGUUCAUAUCGGUCAAACUUGUUGAUUCCAAACAAAUGCAAUUUAAUGAACUAUGUGGCAUUGACAAUUUGAAACCUUGGAAAUACUUAGUUUAAGUUUUCUAAAUGUGAGCUUAAAUGGAGAAACACAAAAGGAUUUUUGUAGUCGAUCACAACUUGUUUGGAUUGGAGUGUAGCUAUUGUUGUUGGAAAAUGAGAGGUUUUGUAAAAUUGACUUUGAUACAACCAAAACAAGCUGAGGUAUGUGAAUUCUCCCUGACCAUGGGCUCAAUUUAAUUUCAUCUUAUGUCCCUAAUCUGUAUUUUGAGGACUCAGUCAUAAAUUGACUAGUUUUAACUUGGAGGUUAGUAGCGAAAAUUAGUUUGUAAUGCAUAUAGCUAUUGGUAACAUUUUUUCUCAAUUUGUAAUCAUGAGUUCACGUAAGAAGGCAUAUUGUCGCGACCCGAGCCGAGGCCCUGGCCAAGACGGGCUUCUCAAACCAUCAAAGGCCCGAGAGACCCCUAUCUCUGCCCAACUGUCAUGACCCAAGCCGAGGCCCUGGCAGCGCCGGGCAUCCUAGACCAACAAAGUCCUGAGAGACCCCUGUCUCUGCCCAACCCUCUAGUGAUAUUGUGCUCUCUGGGCUCAAGCCCGCACGGCUUUAAAAUGCGUCACUAGUUAGUAAGGCUUACUAACUUAUAUACCCAGUUUGUUCCUGUUGUCAAUGAGUAUCCAAAAGUUUUUCCUGACGGUCUUCUAGGAGUUCCUCCCGAUAGAGAAAUAGAUUUUGGGAUUGAUCUUCUUACCGACACUCAGCCUAUCUCCAUUCCACCAUAUAGAAUGGCUCCUGUAGAGUUAAGAGAGAUGAAAGAGAAGUUGAAAGAUCUUCUUGAUAAAGGUUUUAUAAGGCCUAACAUUUCUCCUUGGGGUGCUCCAGUUUUGUUCGUGCGUAAAAAGGAUGGUUCACUUUGGAUGUGCAUCAAUUAUCGCCAGCUGAAUAAAGUCACUAUAAGGAAUAAGUACCCCUUCCUAGAAUAGAUAUUCGAUCAGCUAAGGGAUGCCAAGUAUUUUUCUAAAAUAGAUCUAAGAUAUGGUUACCAUCCGUUAAAAGUUACAGAAUGUGAUACUCUGAAGACAUAUUUCUGAACUUGAUAUGUCACUUUGAAUUUUUAGUUAUGUCCUUUGGUUUGACUAACGCUCCUGCAGUUUUUAUGGACUUUAUGAAUAGAGGUGUUUAAACCAUAUUUGGAUAUGUUCGUAAUUAUAAGAAUCUCCACUAAGCUGAAUUAACUGCAAAGCCGCAUCCAUUUCCAAUUCCGUAGGCAUAUAGUGAACUUUCGUCGAUUUCACCAUUGUUGUUGGAGGAAAAAAUUGAAGGAUAUGGAGUUGCAAUGCAGGGGAGUUGGUUUAUUAUAAAGGAAGCAAUUGGAAAGCUUCUCUUAGCUCUACUUGGAAAAGGAUUUAAGUAGGGGUAAUAUUGUAAAUUCACACUCAUUUUUGUUAAGUAUAACUGUAUAAGGAAGCAAUUGGAAAAUCUUCUAGUUCUACUUGGAAAAGAAGUUAAGUAGGGGAAACAUUGUAAUUAACGCUCAUUUUUUACGUUUCACAUCAACCGCCUUUAAAUUUUCAAAACUGUCUACUUCAAUAUUAAGUGCUUUAUGAACAAUUUGUUCUUAAAAAAGAUAUAUUAUACUUUAGUCUCUUUUUUCCUCACAAAUAAAUUAUGUGUGUUAUAAUAAUAAAUACUCCCCCGUCCCAUUUUACUCGUCUCAAAUUUUCUAAUUUGAUUUUUUAUUUUACUUGACAUUUUUCAUUAAUCAAGAUAAGAUAAUUUUUUUUCUUUUUGACCUUUAAUAUUAACUAUUUUAUCUCCAAAUUAAAAUGUAAUCAUCAUUUAAUAGAGAAACUAUGGUAAAUAGCCAUGUUAUAAAUUGUUUUUCUUAAUCAAUGUGCAAUGUCAAAUUGAGAUGAGUAAAAUGAGAUGGAGGGAGUAUUAAUAUAAUUAAGCUAAAUCAAUUAUGAAAGUCCAACGACACUUCAUGACUUCAACGUAAUAGGACAUUUGGAUUAUUAUUUUUAAGUGACUUAAAAGUUAAAAAUCAAAAAGUUAAUUAUGCCUUGCAAUUUACUGAUAAACUUGCAUGUUUGCCUAGACUCUGGCACUAAAAUUCGCGAUGAGCCAUCCGACAUGUUGACUCUCCAUUCCAAAACUUGUAGGCACCUCAUUUUCCUUAACCAUAUUUGCUAAAAAUAACACCUUGUUCCAAACUCGUUUCUUAUCUGUUGUACUUUAAGAUUGAGUUGGUUAAGGUUGUUUGAGGACUGCUGAAGAUUGAGACUUCAAAUUACCAUGUGUUUAUUGGAGGACUACAACUUUAUAAGUUAUUAUGAAUUGGUGGUUAAGUAUGUCAUAAUUGUGCACACAUCAGAUAUAUAUAUAUACACACACACUCAUGCUCCAAGAUUUAAUUUGUACCUUCGUAGGGGUUGUACGGGAAACUUUAUAUUUUAGUCAGGUAAGCUCAGGCAUUUUUUGUUUUAAACAAAUAGUGGGCAUUGAUUUGAUACUAAUAUUAUCUUCAUAUCUUAAUUAUGUCAUCCUUUAAUUUGUAUAUAAUCAAUCCCUAUUUUUUCCCAUCUUAUAACAUAUAUUAGAAUUUUAAGAAUAAUAAGUGGGAAAAUUAUGAAAAUUGCAGUAGAGAGUUCUCCCUCAACUUGCAUUCAAUCAAAUUAAAUCCUUUUUCCCUUUUAAUUUCUUUUAAUUCUAUCUUAAGUUUCUCUUAGUGCAAUUAAAGGUCCACCACAAGUAAGAUGGGUGUGCUUGUCUAUUUUAUGUUUUUCAUUUUCACAUCAGAAUGUACAAAAUAUUGAAUCUGAGUGAUUCAUGAUAGAUUAUUUGUAUGAAGAGCCAAAAAUCUAAAUAUACAUCUGAGAAAAGAAUUUAAGGAUGAAAUUUAACAUCUAGAAUUGCGUCUUCUGGUCAAAACAAUCACCAUGAUCGAUAUCAGGCUCAGUUGACAUACGAUCUCUUACAGUACAGAAUUGCAUCAGAAAUCGCCUUCCCGUGCCAAAUAUCAGUAGAAUGAUCAUUGGAUGGACUUUUUAUAGGGGAACAAUCCUCAUGUGGUGAGUUAAUAUUGCUCCAGUUUUUCACCUUCCUCAAACUCUUAACUCUUCUAGUACUACUACUACUUCUUUGGUUGUUAUCAUUUCCACACCAAUUGACAACAGAAUAAGAUUUCAAAAUUCAACGAGGAGAUCCCUGAAAUGAAGUAUCAGUAGUACUCUUGCAGCUUUGAAUUUCACUUACUUUUCUUUGAAGUUCAUAAACUUUUGCAGUACUUUUUCUUGAACUUGCUAUCCUUUUGGAGAUUGGCCUGACGAAUCCAAACCACUUAACCAAGAUUUUGGGCAAAAACUUCCUCCAUUUUUCAAGAAAAUCAGCUUGACUAGUUGUGGAAUUUGAAAGUUUAGAUAUUGGCGUAGGAGGAGUACUAGUUGAGGGUACUGAUGAAUUUGUGUUGAAAUUAUUGAAGGUUUCGCAAAAAGAUUCAACCUUUGAUCUAUCAAGAUAUCGAGGCAUGAUAUAUCCAUCAGAGAAGAUUUCAUCAGCACAAACAGAUUCUGAAAUAGGAUGAACAUCCAAGUUGAAGUUUUGUUCUUCUUUUAGGAAUCUUUUCAAAUAAGCGAUAAAUUUUAACUCUUCCUCAGCAUCAUCAUGAGUAUUAUAAGAGGAUCUAGGGGAUUCUGUUAGUCCAUCAAUGAAUGGUUUUCUAUUCAACAACCAACUAUAUGAAAAACUCUCUAUGGCAAGAGGUUGUUGGAAAUUUUCCAUAGUGAAUAUUAUACUACAAUACAGCCUCUCUACUUCACCUGAGGUAGUGGUAUGAUCUGCGUACACUUUAUUUUCCCCAGACCCGACUAUAUCGGAAUACACUGGGUAUGUUGUUGUUUUUGUUGAAUAGUAUACUAUAUUAUGGGAAGAAAUGAAAAGGAAAAUGAGAUGCUUAUAUAAAGAAUUUACAAGUUACCACUACAACAGAUUAAAACACACAUGUUGUAAAAAAAAAAUUUAAGUUGUCAACGUAUAUAAGUUAAAUCUGCAUAAAAAUAAAUGCUCAUCAUUAUUUGAGGAGGAGUUGUUUAUAUAGCAAAAGAUCACAAAAAUAAAAGGAAGAAAAAUAUUUGAUAAUUCAAUCAAGGAGAUUAUUCAAUGAGGUAAAUCACUUAACUCCACCAAUCAUGAUAUGGUUGCCACAAAUAAACAAAUAAGAAUCUGUCUAAAUCUUACUAUUGAAAUCUUCCAUAAACAAAAUAAGGAAAAGAAAAUUCUCCCUACUUAUUAAAGGAAGUCAAGAGGGGGUAAAAGACAUUAGUAUCAAUCAAUUGCAAUAUCAUCUAAAUUUAUCAUAAUUAAUACGUAAAUGAAUGUCUGUCACACUAAAUAAGGGAAAAGAGAAAUUAGAAAAUCAAUUAGUGAAAUUGUUCCUAACAAAUAAGGCAAAAUCGAAUUAGGCACAAAGUCAAGGUAAAUGAAUCAAAUCGAUAGACCAAAUGUUCCCAUAUUAAGUUUGCGAGAUUUGCGACACAGUAGGCGAAGUAAUAGGGGUGUAUUCUGAUGUAUCUAGAGAUAAGCUACUUUUAUGAGUUAGAAGGGAUUUUUGUAAUUAGUAUAGUGAGAUGGAAUUUUAAGUAAUAAUUGAAAGUUAAGGUGUUGUUUUAAGUAAUUUUUUCUUUAAAAAAUCUAAGUAUAAUGAAGAAUUAUCCACUUUUUAUCAAAAAUAUUUUAGAACUUUGAAUUAAAUGAUUCAAAUCUUCAAACCAAUAAUAACUUAACAUUUUAUUAUUUAGAAUUAAUCUUUACUUUUAUAAUAAUAAUCAUAUUAAUAUUAAUAAUAUUAAAACAUUUAAUGUCUUUUAAUAAUACUAGAAUUUCUAUUAAAAUUUGGAUUUAGCCCACUUAUUUAAUACCCUUGCAACUGAAUGAUCAAAAACAUUUUGCAUACUUGCAAAACAAUGAGCUACAGAAGAACAAAUUAAUCAACGCUAAAAACUAGCAAAACUAAAUGACUAUAUACACUUUUUAUAUGAGGUACACAUAAUCUUUACCCAUACAAAUAAGGGGUAUGAAGGAAGUUAAGUCUGAAAGAAAAAGAAUACCAAAAUCCAUCAAAGGAUUCGAAUAUGUGACAAAAAUUAAGAAAAGAAAAGAAAAGAAAAAGUAAAAAAAACUUAAAUGUCAAUGAAGUUAUCAACUAUUCUCUUUCAAUCAAUUACCUGCCAAAUUUUUCUUCGCGGUCGAUCUCUUCCUGCACGCAUCUAUUGCCUCCAGCUUCAUUCUUGCGAGUUCUUGAAAGCAUUGUUGAUAUUGUGACUCAAUUGUAUCAAGCUCCAACUUUAACUCGGCGUUGUCCAGAUCAUCUUUCUCUACUAAUGAUAAAAAUGAACAAUUGCUGGAUACUCUCAUGCAUUUAGAAUCUUUAUCUGUAUCCAUCAAGGUCACCUCCAGAUUCAGAUUCUUUUCAAAUUCAUUCGAUAAUAUGCAGUAUACAUAAUCGCCACCAUUUCGAUGUGGCUUACCUUCAUGAUGAAACAAGCCCAUGAACUCUAGCUCUCAUAAGUAUCCACUAGAACCUUUAGAGAUUAAAUCUGCACAUGUAAAGUAGUCGCCAAAUCCAAAUGAAUUCGAAGAAUCUUUCUGAAAUUCAAGCAUUACAGUUUGAUAAUCCAUGAACAAGGAAGAAGAAAGGACAGAGUGUAGUUGGGAAUUUUAUUCUUCAUCGUCUGUACAUUACAACAUUGCAGCUAUUUAUAUACUUGAGCUAAGAUAGUGAGCUCAUUUCCAGCUUAGUGACAGCUCAUCAUAACUGACUAACCACUUCCCUAACAGCCUCUAACAACUUGCUAUUUCUAACUGACUAACAAUCGAGAAGCUUCCAGAACCUUCCAUCCAAUGGAACAGUUAGUGUUGUGUGGUUUUGUACAGUGAAUAUCAUAUCUUGAGAUCAUACUUUGAACUUGGAUCAGUAGUUAAAACACGCCCCCUCAAGCUGCAGGGUGCAAUAUAUUUAGCACACCAAGCUUGCCUAAUAAAUGAGCAUGUUGGGCUUGGCUCAGUCCCUUGGUAAGAAGGUCAGCCACCUGGUCAUGAGUGUGAACAUGUAUAGCUUGUAUCAGUCCACUUUUGAUCUUGUCCCUGAUAAAAUGACAGUCAAUCUCUAUGUGUUUUGUUCUCUCAUGAAUCACAGUAUUGUUGGCCAAUUGAAUUGUUGAAUUGCUGUCACUAAAGACUGAUAUGGGCAAGGUAAUGGGAACUUUGAGUUCCUGGAACAAACCAACCAACCAAGUUAUCUCUGCAACUGCUGAAGCCAUGCUUCUGUACUCAGCUUCAGCAGAGUUCCUGGAAAUAGUGUGCUGUUUUUUGGACUUCCAAGAAAUUAAAGAUUUACCAAAAUGAACUUCAUAGCCUGAUUACCUAGUGUUGGGACAAGUAGCCCAAUCUAAGUCACACCAAAAAGUUAGAGUGGUAGAAUGCUCAACCUUUACCCAGAUUCCUUGACCAAUAGAGCCUUUAAGGUACCUGACUACCCUGAUAGCAACCUCCCAGUGUGAUCUCUUGGGAUAUUGCAUAAAAUGGCUAAGAGCGUGGACUGCAAACUAAUAUCUGAUCUUGUAAUAUUGUCAUACAUGAGUUUACCCACUAGUCUUCGAUAAGAAGAAGCAUCAGACAAAGAAUCAUCACUUUGUGCACCUAUGGCUUGAUCAUACUCAAGUGAUGUUAACCUUACAUUGGAUUCUAAGGGAGUGAUUGCAGGUUUUGAACUACUAAGACCAGCAUCUAAAAUUAAUUCUAGGAAAUACUUCUUUUUGUUUAAUAUCACCCCUGAAGUGGAUCUGAGGACUUCAAUACCUAAGAAGCAUUUGAGAUUUCCCAAGUCCGUCAUCUUGAAAUGGUGAUAUAACUUGGCUUUUGUUGCAUCAAUCAAUGCUGCAUUGCUUUCAGUAAGGAGUAGGUCGUCAACAUAUACAAGAACUACUACUGUGUCAUUACCUUAAUGUAGAAUGAAGAGAGAAUAGUCAUGAGCAGUCUGAGUGAAUCCAGCAUCAAGCAAAACAUGAGUCAGUUUUAGGUUUCAUUGUUUGGAAGCCUGCUUGAGGCUGUACAAGGAUUUGAGAAACUUGCAAACUUUGUGCUCUCCUUGGCAAUAUAUUUAAUCUUGUAUAUCCAUUUGGAACCAACAGUGUUCUUUUCUUUGGGCAGGUCAACAAUAGUCCAUGUGUUAUUGGCCUCCAAUACUUGGAUUUCUAACUUCAUAGCUUCCACCCAUCUUUCAUCUUUUAUAGCUUGUUUAAAUUGUUGAGGCUCAGUCAGAGUGGACAACUUUAACAAGUACCACUAAUAUGCUGGUUUUAGUUUACUAUAAGAUUGGUUGUUGGCUAAGAGGUGCUUGCAUCUCUGGGUUUUUGAAGUGUCAACAUAAUCAUGCAUCUACAUAGGUGGCCUGCUUGUUCUUGUUGGUCUAUUGGAAGAGGGUUGAGGUAGGGAAAGGUCAUCUUGAUAUGUUUCUUCAUGAGUGGUGUCAGGUGAAACAGCACCAGGUACUGCAAAAUCAGAAGAAGCUUAAGUCAGAGAAGGCUCAUCUUGGCAAUCAGCUUCAGUAUUUGCAUCAGAGAAAGGUAUAUUAGGUGGUGCAGUAUCAGCAAAAUCAGCAUCAUCAACGUGAAUAUCCUCUAAAGGAACAUCAGUACCAACUUCAUUAUCUGUGCAGAAAACAACAUUCCCUUAUGUUUAAGAGCCUCUUACCUGGUAUGUACUGUCAUGUCCCUAACCGGGGAAAGAAUUUAGAAUUGUGUUAUGGAUUUAUCUCAAAUAGCUAGUAAAUUCAUUCUCUUAGCCCAGGCCUUUUUAUUUAAGGGCAUCUCGCCUUAAGGAGGUGGGUUAUCUUAAGUUCUAAAAGAAAGAGGGAAUGAGUUCAGCUGCAAGUAAAGUUCACGCCUUCUGGUAAAGGUAGGUCGGGGAAUGCCAUCAAGCAACCAAUUCUUUCUUUUCUUCAGCCAUUAAGGAAAAAAGCAGAAAGUAUUUCACUUAAGACAGCCAAAAAGUAUAGAUUGUAAGAAAGAAGCCCAUGGGGGUGAUAUCGAUAUAAUCCAUAAGUCUUUCUCUAUGACAGUCAUUUUUUACUAUUAACUGACGCUAUUUUUUUCUCUAUCCAAAUCCUUUGGUUAAGGAGGCUUCCCCCUCUACUCUGCUCUUUAUAACAGUGAAAGAGCACCCAGAGUCUUGUGUUUUCUUUUAAAAAACUCAUAGAAUAAGGAAUUUAGGUUUACUGUCAAUCCCUUUCUUUUUUCUUCACACUAUAGCUGCGCAUUCUUUGUUAUUACUAUGGGGUCCCGAAGCACAAGGGGAUUUUCCUCGUUGGUUCCAAUUAGGUGGUUUGUUGACUUUUGUUGCUCUCCAUGGAGCUUUUGGACUAAUCGAUUUUAUGUUACAUCAAUUUGAACUUGCUCGAUCCGUACAAUUGCGGCCUUAUAAUGCAAUUGCAUUCUUUGGUCCAAUUGUUGUUUUUUUUUCUAUAUUCCUGAUUUAUUCACUAGGUCAGUCUGGUUGGUUUUUUGCGCCUAGUUUUGGUUUAGCAUCUAUUUUUCGAUUUAUUCUUUUUUCCCAAGGGUUUCAUAACUGGACAUUGAACCCCUUUCAUAUGAUGGGAGUUGCCGGUGUAUUGGGUGCUGCUCUGCUAUAUGCUAUUCAUGGUGCUACUGUAGAAAAUACUUUAUUUGAAAAUGGUGAUGGUGCAAAUACAUUCCGUGCUUUUAACCCAACUCUAGCUGAAGAAACUUAUUCAAUGGUUACCGCUGACUGCUUUUGGUCUCAAAUCUUUGGGUUGAUCUUUCCAAUAAACGUUGGUUACAUUUCUUUAUCUUAUUUGUAUUAGUAACUGGUUUAUGGAUGAGUGCUCUUGGAGAAGUCAGUCUGGCUCUGAAUCUACGUGUCUAUGAGUUCGAUUCUUAGGAAAUCCGUACAUCGGCAGAUCCUGAAUUUAAGACUUUCUAUACUAAAAAUAUUCUCUUAAACGAAGGUAUUCGUGCUUGGAUGGUGGCUCAAGAUCAUCCUCAUGAAAACCUUAUAUUUCCAAAGGAUUAUUACCAUGUGGAAACGCUCUUUAAUGGAACUUUCUCUUUAGCCAGGGUCGUGAUCAAGAUGCCGAUUUUGCUUGGUAGGCGGGGAAUGCCCGACAACUCAAUUUAUCCGAGAAACUAUAGGGAGCUCAUGCUGGAUUAAUCAUAUUCUAGGCCGGAGCAAUGAACCUAUUUGAAGUAGCUCAUUUGGUACCGAAGAAGCCAAUGUAUGAACAAGGAUUCAUUUUACUUCACCAUCUAGCUACUCUAGGUUGGGGGGUAGGUCCUGGUGGGGAAGUUAGAGACAUUUUUCCAUAUUUUGUAUCUAGCAUACUUCACUUAAUUUCAUCUGCAGUAUUGGGCUUUGGUGGUAUUUAUCAUGUACUUUUGGGUCCUGAGACUCUUGAAGAAUCUUUUCCAUUUUUUGGAUAUUUACUAAAAUCCCCCUUUGGAGGGGAAGGAUGGAUUGUUAGUGUGGACGAUUUAGAAAAUAUAAUUGGACGGCACAUAUGGUUAGGUUCCAUUUGUAUACUUGGGGAAAUCUGACAUAUCUUAACCAAACCCUUUGCGCGGGCUCGCCGUGCGGUGCGCUUGUAUGGUCUAGAGAGGCUUACUUGUCUUAUAGUUUAUUUGAGUGCUUUAUCUGUUUUUGGUUUCAUUGCUUGUUGCUUUGUCUGGUUCAAUAAUACUGCGUAUCCUACUGAAUUUUAUGGGCCUACUGGACCAGAAGCUUCUCAAGCUCAAGCAUUUACUUUUCUAGUUAGAGACCAAUGGCUUGAGGCUCUUCUUCUCUCUUUUGUUAAUGAGUAUAGUACAUAUCGAUUGAUUACAUCGUUAAUUACAAGAAGUUGCUUGUUCAAGAAACCAAUCGAAUCGUCAUCAGGACGAUGUGAAUGAGCCUUAUUUGCAAAUGAUAUCAAUUUUCAAUCAAUCUGGUUGUAAGGCUAUAAAGGCCAUAAGUCGUCGGCUCACUCCAACAGAGCGCAAAUCAGCAACUUUGUAUGUCUUGCUGAAUUGCCCAGAAAUUGAACCCUUUCUAAAGUAAGGAGAUUGGAAUUUUAACAUAUCUUAUUUGUUUACUCAUUCCUUUAAAGAAACUAAUUGUGUUUCGCAUUUUGGAUCUUCAGUUCAUUUAAGACUCAAUUCUACGAAGAUCAAGUGUAUGCAUCCUUUACAACAUGAUUUAAAAAUGAGGUUCAUAAGUGUAUUAAUAUUUAUAUAAAGUUUUAACAUUUACACAUUUCUCAACUAAUAUAUAUAUAUAUAUAUAUAUAUAUCUAUAUCUAUAUGUAUGCAUGUAUGUAUGUAUGUAUGUGUGUAUAAUAUUUUUAGGUACACCAUUUCCCAAAUACAUCCGCAUACGAUCAGCUCUUAAGAGAUAUUUUUUUUGGGUCCAGUUGAAGCUCAUGCAAUGUCCCAAUACAAAGUAAAUGAGUUUAAAUUUUCCAGCGAACAAAACUCCAGAACAAGGAAAACAAACAAUAUGGUGUUUGGGUUAAGGGUGAUGAUGAUGUUGAUUACUUUGGCAUCAUACACGAGAUCUUAGAAUUAGAGUAUGCUUGUUUCCCAAUAAAAAAAAUUGUCCUCUUUCGAUGCAUGUGGUUUGAUCUAAGCGCAAGAGGCCCAAGAGUACAUAAGGAGUAUAACAGCAUUGAAGUGAAGCAUAAUAGGCCGUAUCCUAUUUACGAUCCAUUUGUUCUAGCGAAAAUGCUAAACAAGUGUAUUAUGCUCCUUAUCCGUUGCGCAAUGACAAGUCUAAUUGGUGGGCUACAAUCAAAACAAAGACUAUUAGAUGGGUGGAAGUUGAGAAUGUGCCGGAGACUGUGUAUCAGAAUGAAAUACAGAUUGAUCACCAGUUUUUGGACGUUGACUCAGUGGAUAGUUUGAAUCACCCGAAAAAUAUAUUUGAAGAAGUUAAUAUUAUGGAAGAAGAGGCUUAGUGGGUAGGAGAUGAGGAAAACUCCAAAGAGGGUGAAUAGUUUAGUGGAGAGUCUUCAAAAGAGGAGGAUUAGUUGUGUAGGUUGUAUUAAUUACGUAUUGAUGUAUUUAUGCUUUGUAUUAUAUAUUUACCUUUAUGUUUCUUUUUUAAGAAUGAUGUGUAAUAUACUGUUUAAUCUAAGAUUGUUGUUUUCACUUUCACUUUUUUCACUAAAGUGAAAUAAUUUUUUGGGAAAAAGGAAAAAGUUUAUAUGGACAAACGGCUACUAAAUCAAUUAAAUUUGAAUUUAGAAAGAUGUGAAAAAAAUCUACAAAUAAAUAUGAAAGAGUUAGAAUAGGAAAAAUAUAAGCAAAGAGUUAGAAUAAGAAAAAUAUAAGCAGUAUCAAAUUUUUUAAAGUUUUAAGUAAGUAAUGAAAGAUUUUCUAAAAAUUUAACUUUAAAAAUAAGGAAAUAUUUUAAAUAUAUAUAUAAAAAAAUAAUCGUAUUACAAAUAGGGUUCAAGUCGAUGCAUUUUUCUUAGCCUCUAGCAACGAGUAAAAAGGUUACUACAUGACAAAUGCAAAAGUGAUAUUCAAUGAAACUUCUGGUGGUGUAUAUAUAUAUACACACACACACACCAACAACAACAAACCCAGUGUAAUCCCACCAAGUGGGGUCUGGGAAGGGUAAAAUAUAUGCAGUCCAUACCGCUACCUUCGAAGAAGUAGAGAGGUUGUUUCCGACAUAUAUAUAUAUAUGUGUGUGUGUGUACAUAUAUAUUCUUAUUAUAAGAUAUAUGUUAUAUUCACAUUAUUAUAUUAAAGUCCUUUUCAUUAAAAACCAAAUAAUUAUUAGCUGUUUAGCCUCAAAUUUGAAUGCCGAUCACGUCGAAGAUUAUUCCACAUGCGAUCGGCAUUAUCAUUUUACGAGGCAUUUAUCGACAUGAAAACUUGUGGUCAUCAUCUUUGUCUAGGCAGCAGAAAUAUUUUUUGAAUAUCCUGUUUUCCUCCAAUUUCUGCUAUCUUUGGCUUGUCUUAAUUUGUUCUUCUUGUUUUUACUUUUCCUUAUUCUUCUUUCUUUGUUAUUGUUUGGUGGAUUAUCGUAAUGAGUUAGUUUCGGGGCUGGAUCCAGAUCUUCUUAUCAUUCUGGAAAUGGAGUUAGAGUUGGAAGCGGUGGAUUUUUUGGUCCAUGUGCUAAUAAUCGGCCAUUUAACCAAGAUCAUUAUUUAGAGAAAGACCCUACGGGUCGAUAUGUUCGGGUAAUUAACUUUACUCUCUAUUAUUUUUGGUGUUACUUCUUCUUUAUGCCUUAAAAUUUUGGACAUUGCUUUAUUUCUACAGUGUUAUUGGAAUGCAACCGUUCCAAAAUUAAGGAUUUAUAUUGUCAUCGGAAUAUAGCCCAAUUGUUUACGUUAGUUUAUGCUUAAAUGUUUGUUUUCUUGUUCUUUUUUUAUAAAUUAUGUCUAGUUGCAAAAUCAAACUGAUUUCCCGUUUUAGCUUAUAUAACACAUUAUACUCAACAUAGAUGCUUUGAGGUGGUCUUAGCGCAAAGGUGAACAAAAGUAUAUUACACCGCUCAUAAGUCAUUUCUUCUUUAAGUUGAUUUGAAUUUUUGGUCCUUCUGCAUAAUUGUUAAGCCAUAAACAUAAUUAUGUUGGGUUCAAUUGGUGUGAAUGGAAAAUAGAGGGACACAACCUUUGAGGAAAAGACAUAUUGUUUUGGAAAAGGAGUGACUGUUCGAAUAGUUGUGUUUGUUCAGAAAAAGACACAAUGUUUCAAAUGAACAGACAUGACUCUUCCAAAAGAUACACCUUUUCGGAUGAACCACUGCCACCUUUCAUAAGGGACACUUGAUGGCUAUAUAAAUCUGCAUUUAUCCAUAGGUUUAGGUACGAAAAUUUUUCUGCAAUAAAACUCUUCUUGUAUCCUGAAAAUAUACUUCGUGUGAUCAUCAAAUCGUAGAGUGAGUUUAAAGAGAUUCCAAUUGUUUGAGGUACCGCUAAAGUUGGUUUGUUUGGCCAUUUUCUCCUGGGAGGAAAAUUCCGCAACCUCGAGUACUUGAGGAGAAUUAUUUCUUUAAGGACACUCCGUGAAUUCGGAGGACUUGACCAUUUCUGUUUCAUCUAAUUAAAUUUCUCGAAAAAAAAAACACACACUUCUUUGAAAGAUCUUUUUGUGUUAUUUAUUUCAAUGUAUUCGGGUAUAAGAAUCUGUAAUUUGAUACAAUAACUUCAACACUAGUUCAAGUUUAAAAUAAGAAUACUAUAAAGUACAAAAACACCCUCAACACAAGAUCAAAGUCAUCUUUCUAAGAAGUGUAUUUUAUUUUCCAGAAAUUAAGAUGAAACAAAAAUGUAAAGCCAAGUCCCCCGACUUCACGGAGUGUCUUUAAGGAAUAAUUCCCCUCACUGUACCCGAGUUUUGGAAUCUUCCUCCCAUGAUAAAAUGACUUUCAAUACAACUAUAGUGAUACCUCAAAUAAUUAUAUUCAACGAACUCACUUAACAAUUUGAUUGAUCACACAGAAUGUCUUUGAAGACAAGAAGAGAGUUUGUAUUUCAGAAAACUCGUGUCUAAACCUGUGGAUGAAAGCAACAGGUUUAUAUAUCCUAUCAGAUGUCUCUUCAAAAAGGUGGCAAUGGUUCACUUAAAAAGGUGUGAUCUUUCUGGAAAUUCAUGUCUGUUCAUCCAAAGAAUAUGUCUUUUUCGAACAGGCAUACCAUUUCACUCAAAACAGUGUGUCAUUUCAUUGACGGGUUGCAUCCCUUCCGAAGCAUCACUUCGUUUCUGCAUUGCAUUUCGAAACAAUAUCAACCAUUGCAUGCAUGCAUAUCAAUGGAGGAUAAAAAACACAGAAAAGUUGCGUUUUUCCCUUUGGUAUUUCCGGAUUAAAUUUCUGUCAAAUAAACUUUGUCCAAAAAGAUAGAUCUCAUCGAUCAUUUUCCAAAGCCAAAGCCGAGCGAGCGACUAUGGCGGUGCGAGACAUCUCUUAUAUUUCCAAAGUGUUAUUUCACUGACAAUUAUUUAUAUUUAUCAACUGCUCGUGUUUCCUCUACAGUUUGGGCAAGGGUGCAUUCAAGACUGUGUAUGUUCCUAAACUUAAUUGCUGGUUUUUUAUUGUUCCUUUCUAUAGCACUAAUUGUGUAUUCAGAGCAUAAAGCAUUUUGUCUUUUUUUUAAAAAAAAAAUGUGUUUCAGCUACAAGGCAUUUGACUUACAUGAUGGUAUUGAAGGCGCAUGGAGCCGAGUGAAAGUGGAGGACGUUUUGCAGUCACCUGACAAGUUGAGAAAGUUAUAUGCAGAAAUGUAUCUUCUUAGAAAAUUGAAGCAUGGCAAUAUAAUGAAGUUCUGUGAUUCAUGGGUUGAUGACAAGAAGAGAACAGUUAACAUGAUCACUGAACUCUUCACAUUUGGGAACUUGAGGCAGUGAGUUUCUCAUAGUUCCUCAUUUUCUUUGUUUACAAAUUGUGUUGUCAUACAAUAAAUAUUUAAAUUGUACUUAUCAGAUACCGCAAGAAGUAUAGAAGUGUUGAUACAAAGGCAAUAAAGAAUUGGGUAAGCAGGUACUUCAAGGGUUAGGUUAUCUUCACAGUUACAACCCUCCUAUCAUUCAUAGGGACUUGAAGUGUGACAACAUAUUUGUCAAUGGAAAUACUGGAGAAAUUAAGAUUGGGGACUUUGGAUUGGCUACCAUUAUGGAGCAGCCUACUUUUAAGAGUAUUGUUACAGAUACUUCUUGUAUCGACAUAUAUUGAAAUAAUGCCCCCUCUUCUAAAACACCAACUUUAUCUAUUCCUCUGAAGGGACCCCGGAAUUUAUGGCCCUAGAGUUUUACAAAGAAGAAUACAAUGAACUGGUUGACAUAUAUUCCUUCAGCAUGUGUAUGUUGGAACUAGUAACCUUUGAAGAUCCUUACAGUGAAUGCAAAAAUCCUACUCAAAUUUUUAAGAAAGUUAGCUCGGUAAGUUUGAUAAAUUUUUAAGUUGUGUAGGCAUUACAUGUUUUAGUAAAUCGAAGCAACUUUAUUUAUUCUCAGGGUGUUAAACCUGCUUCUCUCGGCAAAGUUACUGAUCCCAAAUCAAAGCAUUCAUCGAGAAAUGCCUGUUCCUGCUUCGCUGAGGUUGCCUGCCAAGGACCUUCUCAAAGAUCCAUUUCUUCAGACUGAGAACUUAAAUGAGCCAACCCAUAGUCUGUUUCUAGCUUUCACCUUACCAAAGUCCAAGAUCAUUAAGUUCAUGGAAAUCUGCACCUCAUUCAAUGGAUUUAGAUCCCGAGUAUAAUCAAUCAGUUUAUACAGACUCCCAUUGUGGUAGUCCUUGUGCUCCGACAUUGGAAUUUCAGAGGUUUCAUCAGAAUAAUGAAUUUAAAUUGACAUGUAAGAAAAAAGAUGAGAACUCAGUUUCAUUGACCUUGCGAAUUAAAAGCCCUUCAGGUAUGUAGAUGCGUUCUAAUUCAUUAUUAUUUUUAUUCUUUUGGCAUUUUGGAAUAAAAUUGUCUCUUUGUUUAUUUAAAGCCUUCAAAUUUUUCAGGCAGAGUAAGGAAUAUACACUUCAAUUUUUAUGUUUAUACUGACACUGCACUCUUAGUUGCGGCUGAGAUGGUUGAACACUUGGAACUAGCUGAUCAUGAUGUAGAUUUUAUUGCUGACUUCAUUGAUUAUCUAAUAAUGAAAAUUUUACCUAGUUGGAAGCCUUCUGAUUAUUUUUCUAGUGGAGGGAGAAGUCAAAGAGAAGAAGCUAUAGAGAAUUACCUAACCUUGUCGCCCAUCACUACCACAUCUAAUGCUCGAAAAAGAUGAUAUUACAGUUCUCAAUAUGAAUAACCAAAUUGGUAGUACUCAUCGAUCUGAUGAAGAUAAAUUGUGUACAAAUUCAAGUAGCACUUCUUGUCACGUUACUUUUGUUUCCCCAUCACAUUUGGCAAAUAUGUGAUAGAUGGAGAGUGUCAAGGUUCAGCUGCUACUGAAGUUUUGGAAAAAUAUUGUUUUAACUACUGAUCCAAGCUCAAAGUAUGAUCUCAAGAUAUGAUACACACUAUACAGAACCACACUACACUAACUGUUCCAUUGGAUGGAAGGUUUUGGAAGCUUCUCGAUUGUUAGUCAGUUAGUAAUAACAAGUUGUUAAGAGGUUGUUAGGCAAGUGGUUAGUCAGUUAUGAUGAGCUUUCACUAAGCUCGAAAUGAGCUUACUAUCUUAGCUCAAGUAUAUAAAUAGCUGCAAUGCUGUAAUGUACAGAUGAUGAAGAAUAAAAUUCCCAACUACACUCUCUCCUUUCUUCUUCCUUGUUCAUGGAUUAUCAAGCUGUAAUGCUUGAAUUUCACAUGGUAUCAGAGAAACGAGCUCAAUACUGAGAGUAUUUCGAUCCUUUUUUCUCAUAUUCUCAGAGAAUUCUUAAGACCUCUGUAUGUACUUUGUUUUUUUGUUCUUUUAUCUCUGCAAGUUUGGUCGAUUUUGCAGUUCAAUUUCUUCAUUCAUGGAACCUAAAAUUGAUCAAAGUGAUCCACUCUUCAUUGGUGCUUUGGAUAGUUCAAGCACUGUACUCGUUCCAAUCAAAUUAACUAGUUUAGAAAACUAUAGUCUUUGAAGUCGAUCUAUGUGAAUUGCUCUCUUAGGGAAGAGAAAGUAUGGCUUUUUCACUGGAUCUUGCAACAUGGAUUCAUACAGAGAGGAACUCCAUGAACAGUGGGAAAGAUGCAAUGCUAUUGUCCUCUCAUGGAUCAUGAACACUAUGAGUGAAAGCUUACUAUCUGGGAUCGUGUAUGCUACAAAUGCUUGUGUUGUCUGGGAUGAUUUGAAAGAAAGAUAUGACAAAGUGAAUCAUAUUCGCAUAUAUCAAUUGCAUCGUGAAAUCAGUAUGCAUUGUCAAGGUACUAAUUCAAUCUCAGCUUAUUUUACUAAGUUGAAAACCUUGUGGAGUGAGUAUGAUGUUCUGGUUCCUAAUCCUAGCUGUGAUUGCCCUAAGUCCAAAGAGUACUCAGAUCAUAUGUGUCAACUGAGACUUCUACAAUUUUUGAGUGGCUUUAAUAAGUCCUACGAUCAAUCUAGGAGACAAAUCUUACUCAAGGGAGUAACUCCUACUCUCAAUCAAGAUUAUGCCAUGCUUAUAGAGGAUGAGAUACAACACUCAACAUGUAUGCCUGUUGUGCACGAUAGAUCAGAACCUCUUGCUAUGCAGGUGAAUCAUAAUUAUGAUUAUGGACAAGGGAACACAAAUUACAAGAGUAGAAAGUAUGACUACUGUCACCUCUCAGGUCAUACAAAAUAAAAUAGCUACAAAUUGAUAGGGUAUCCAAAUGAUUGGAAGAACAAGAAGUAACAAGGUUAUACUCCUCCAAAUUUCAGGUCACAUAAUGUUGGUGGUAACAAUUUCUCACCACAUAAUAGGGGUAACAACUAUACUAGCACUGGUAGCAAGUCUUCCCAAACUGCAAGCAUGGUAGUAGGACCAGGUGAUGCUACCAGCUCCAGUCAUAAUGUGAAUUGUGCAUCAUUGGCAAAACCUCAUACAUUCACAGAUGAAUAGUACACUCAAAUCAUGAACAUAUUGAACAAGGAUACUAAGGAUAUGAAACAAGUCAAUAUGACAGGUAUUACCACUUUUUUUUAUUCGAGGCUUGUUCUGACAGUUGGAUUGUAGAUUCAGGAGCUACACAUUAUGUGUCUGCCUAUAGACACUUAUUCAAAGAUAGCUCCAGCCUGGUUCCAAGACACUUUGACAAAUUGCACCUUCCAAUAAGUGAUGAAGUCACAAUUUCCCACACUGGAGAAGCCUAUAUGUUUACAGAUGAUGUGAUCAAAGAUGUCCUCUUUGUUCCAGAUUUUAGACUAAAUUUGUUGUUUGUUGCUAAGAUAACCAAGGAACUGUCGUGCUUUGUGUCCUUUUAUCCUGAUUCUGUGUAUUUCAGGACCUCUUCAAUGGAAAGGUGAAGGGGAUUGGUAGAUAAGAGGGUGGAUUGUAUGUUCUUAAAGGAGAAUGGAAAGAUAAUUGUUAUACCCAUUUUAACACGGGUCAAAAUAGUGUACAACAUAUUGGAAAACUUCGGAGUUAAAUUUAAGGAAGUCGCCACCUAAUUAGUUCUACAGUGAAUUAGGACACCUAUUACAAACUACGUGAUUAAAAUAAAUAAUGACUUCAUUUUAAGGUCUACAAAACCUAAAUUCUAGGUAAGGAUUCUAUUUAUCCUAAAGGUAAGGGAUUAGGCACCCUAAAGGAUCCACUAACUACGGUUAACCGGCCAAACUUAGAUUAGAUAAGAAAAUCAAAUAUUAAAUUAAGAAAAUAUAUAUAAGGCAUUAAAAAUUAUUAUUUUUUUUGUCUUUUAUAAGAUAAUAUAUGCUAAUUAUAAAUAUUAGAAAAUAUUUUAGAACAUCCUCGCAAUAAAUAAAAAUAAAAUAAAAUAAAGCUUUUAACUAAAAAUAAAUAAAAAUUUAUUCUAAAGGAUGCCCCUUCUGUUUUUUUUUAUUUAUCAAAUUUUAUAAAAUAAUAAGUCACUUACCUUACUCUACAUGAAUAGAUAAAUUAUAUAGUUGUUUAAACGUAUAAUGACUUGAGAAUUUAUUAUUUAUUAUGAUAAAAUAUUUUUUUUGUUAUUAGGAAUACCUAAAAGGGACUUGCGAAAUGUCAUUUUUUAUUAAAAAUAAACUUUGAUUUGCGGUAUCUAAAAUUAGUAAAACUGGUUUUCCAAAUUAGCAAUAAUACGCCUAUCUACCACAAAUUUAUAUUUAAAGGAUUUUCAAAUUAUUACCUAAUAAGAAACUAACAUUAUUCUAAAGAUAAGCUACUAUUUCGUAUUAAAGAAGUAUUAAAAGGAUUCUAACAAACUUGGUCAUUAUUCUAAAGAUAUCUUUAAACCUAGAAAUUUUAAAACUUUUAAUGAUGUAAAUUAAAUGUCGAAGUUUAGUUAUCAUGCAAUGUCUAAAAUCUAAUGGGCGAAGAGGGAACGAUAAAAAUUCGCUACACGAAAUCACAUAAGAACAUAUAAGAACACAACUUUUAAAUAAUAGUGCACGAAAUAUUAAAUAAAGAAAAGAAAUAAUAAUAACAGGUUUCUACAGAAGAAGAGUAAAGCUUGAAAAGAGGGAAGGAGGCACUAGACUGCUAGAAGGAGAUACNNNNNNNNNNNNNNNNNNNNNNNNNNNNNNNNNNNNNNNNNNNNNNNNNNNNNNNNNNNNNNNNNNNNNNNNNNNNNNNNNNNNNNNNNNNNNNNNNNNNNNNNNNNNNNAGCAAUAAUACGCCUAUCUACCACAAAUUUAUAUUUAAAGGAUUUUCAAAUUAUUACCUAAUAAGAAACUAACAUUAUUCUAAAGAUAAGCUACUAUUUCGUAUUAAAGAAGUAUUAAAAGGAUUCUAACAAACUUGGUCAUUAUUCUAAAGAUAUCUUUAAACCUAGAAAUUUUAAAACUUUUAAUGAUGUAAAUUAAAUGUCGAAGUUUAGUUAUCAUGCAAUGUCUAAAAUCUAAUGGGCGAAGAGGGAACGAUAAAAAUUCGCUACACGAAAUCACAUAAGAACAUAUAAGAACACAACUUUUAAAUAAUAGUGCACGAAAUAUUAAAUAAAGAAAAGAAAUAAUAAUAACAGGUUUCUACAGAAGAAGAGUAAAGCUUGAAAAGAGGGAAGGAGACACUAGACUGUUAGAAGGAGAUACAUAAUGCAAUUUGCUCGCUUCUCUGAUUUGAACAGAGAUGGAGUCAUGCCAUGAAACUCCAAACGCACUCCCGAGUGUAUAUGAAAAAAUAAGAAAAAUAAAGAUUAGGAGCCAAACUAAUUGUAAGGAAAAUGAACGGAAAGAAAUACUUGCCACAUGAAUGUUCGAAUAUUAAAUUUGAAUGAAACCGCGAAAAUAAAUCAGCAUAUACCUAUUAGGAACAAACAUUUGAGAAUAAAUACUUUGGGAUGUAAACAGCUUUUGUCUCACAUAACAGGCAACUCAAUCCAAAUGAACAUGAAAAAAAAGUAAAUUAACAAGACUUCUAAUAAUUCAUCGGGGGAAAACAUACACUUAAUCCUUGUCAAGGAACACGUGAACCAGCCUCAUAAAAAAAACCUUAUAUCAUAAUAUUCAAACCUGUUAUCCGUCAAACUCCACAACAACAACAACAACAACAAAAAAUCCAUUGUAUUCCCACAGUGAUAAACAUAAUGAGUUUUGGACAAAAUCAAAUAAAAUACCCUUUCCUUUAAAAACCUUUCAUAGCAUAACUUUUAAUAGAACAUUUUUCCUUAUAUCUCCUAACAUUUUAUAACAAUAUAAUAAUACUUUAAUUAAGUGUAAUCCUUUCUCAUUAAAUAUUUCAAAUAAAGAAGAACAAUAGUUUACGGCAAAGCUAUUCAACAUUUGUUAUCUUAUGAAAAGAAAGAAAGAAAGAAGUUAGACUUUUAAAAAAACUUUUCUUUAAAAAAAAAUCAAUAAAGCUUUAAAAUUAAUUGAUAAAGAAAUGACAUCCCUUUUAAUGCAAAAAGAUAAAGUAAAGCAAUUAUUUGGUUUUUUUUCUUUCAACACCCCUUUUAAUAAUAAUAAUAAAAAAAAAGAUGCAACUAUUUGACCUUUCCUUUCAUGCACCUCUCGUGCCAUAAACAGAAUUAGCCGGUAACGCACGUAUCAAUUUUUGAAAAAAAUAAUAUGAGUAUAAUUAAUAUUUUCUCCAUUUUUUAUUUUUAGUUGACCCUCUUUUUAUUUAGAAAAAUAAUUUGUUUCAUAUUACUUGUCCCAAUUGUAAAAUCAAGAUUAUUUUAUACAUAUUUUUUCAUUCUACUCAUAUCAUUACAUGACUAAACAAAUAUACAUACUCAAAGUUAUGUUUUUUUUUUUAGCAUAAUUAAUAAGGCUAAUUUGAUAAAAGUGAAUUCUAUUAAUUAUUCCUUAAUGGGAGUACUAAGUUCAUAGGGCCAACUAAAAUAAAACGAAGAGAGUAUUUAAUAUUGAUGAUAGCAUUGAAGAUAUAUUUAAAACCUCCGCAAUACCAAAAUAAAAUCCCACGAUGACAACAACAUACCAAGUAAGGCCUAAAAUUAAUUAAUUCAUAAAAAAAGAUCAAAAUGAGGCAAUCUUACUAAAAUAAGAACAACAGCAACAAGGACACCAAAUAAACUCUAAAUACGAAACUAGAACAUAGAUAUUGGAUGAGUUAACCAAAAAAAAAAAUAUUUAAAUAACAUUAAUUCUUAUCAAUCAUUUUCACGCAUAGCCUUAAAAUAAAUAGAAUAAGCAAAUGGAUCCAGAUAGGCAGAGUUGAGAUAAAUGACAAGAAGCUAUAAACAAUCGUAUUUUAUUUCUAAAAAACAAAACUGAAACAAAAAAUAUGAAGAUGAAGGCGAUUACUGACCUUGUGUGGAGAAAUGAACUAGGGCUUCAACUCAAAGACUCGAACUUCAAUUAAACAAGGAAAAAAUAGCAGGCACCUGGCGAAUUGAUCUCUCUUCACCCUUUUAUUGUGAAGAAGACUCCUCUUUUAGAGAAAAAAGGGCUGUAACGACUUCUUCAAGUAUCACAAAAUUCAAAAUUCAAAUCAAACGAAAAAAAGAGGAAGAAGGAAAAUGAGCAUCAAAGUUUUCCUUUUCAAAGAUUAUGGGCUCUGCAAAAGUCAAAAUUUUCGGUGGACUUUCCGUGAUUGAAGUGUGUUUGGUUGAAUUUCACGUGAAGAGAGGAUUUUUAGGAUUGUGUUGGUCAUAUUGCUGAUGUUGCUGUUGUUUGAUUAUUAACAGCCUGUUUGGAUGGUGGUUUCCCAUGGUAUGGUAUGGUAUGGUAUGGUUACCAUAGGAACAAUGUUUUUUUCCAUGGUUUUCUAAAAAUGGUGGUAUGGUAUGUUACUAUUCCAUGGUUUGAUAACCAUGGAAUGAAGCAAUUUAUUGAACCACCAAAUUGGUGGUGUACCAUGGUUUUCAUUUUUCUUUUUCAACUAUACCCUUAUAUAAUUUUCUUUAAUCCUAUUUUAUCCUUAACAAUAAAAUACAUGCUAAGACUAUGCAUUUGUUAACAAGAUCGAAGAUUGCAAGACUUCCUGUUAGCAAUAUAAAAAUUCAAAGAGUGAGAAAAAUGAUCACAGUUAUUUAGUAGUAGUAGUUUUUAAUGCCAAUAAAAACUCAAUUCGAUGAAAAAAAAAUUGAAAAUUGAAAUGGAGGGAAAAGAGUGAAUGCACAAAAAGCAUAUACAUGGGAAGUGAUUUUUGAACUCUAAAAUACAUACAUGUAUACCAAUUGUUUUAUUGAUUGGGAAGUACUUCCUGAUUGCAUUAGUUUGCGUUCCUCAAACCUUUGUUUAACAAAUACCCUUGUGAAUUUGGUGUCUUAAAAGGAUCAUCGGGUAGCUAUGAGAAGCAUCAAGAAAGAAAGGACAACUGGUUACGCUAGCACUGAUAUGGAUAAAAGAUUUGAUAUCUCAAAUGUAUUACAAUUAGAGGCAUUUUAGUAAAUUUACCUGUUACCAUACCAUCAAACCAAAAAAAAAAUCUAUUAUUAAACCGUAGUGAACGAUACAGUCCAUCCAAACAUGGUACUGUACCAUACCAUACUAUACCAUACCAUACUACACCAUACCAUACAUUAUGAAACCAUGGCAAACCACCAUCCAAACAGGCUGUAAAGGGGAGAGUUGCAAGGUGAGCUAGGCCAGGGGGUUUGGUUUGGGCUAGUAAAAUGAGUUUUGGGGCUGGUCUUGCUACAUUUUAAAAGGCUAAAUUUAAUUAAAGAAUUUGGCCCAAUCAGAACAAUGAAUUUAUCUAAUUCUCGACGAUCCAUUUCAACUUGACUAAUUCAUCGAUGCUUAUUAAUUUUCUCAAUAUAUAUAUAUAAUUAAAUAAAAAAUAGUGUAAAUAUGAAAUGAUUAUUUAAAAUAUAUUUAUUUAUUUAUUUUUGAUUAAAAAUUUGUGAGAUGCGAUAUUAGUAAAAAAAUAUCAUUUUCAAACUGUUAACGUUGAAACAUAUUUUGAAGAAGAAAAAAGAAAAAAAAAAUCAAAAAUUCUAAGCAUCGAGAAAUUAAAAUUGGGUAUCAACAAUAAUACUGAUCAUGUAGGAUCAAAACACAAUAGAUUCAUUACAGAAGCUAUUGUUCCCAAUUGCAGACUGUGGAACCAAAGACUUGGGAACCCAGCUCCUCAGGUUUUAAGAUACUUAGACAUUUUGAUGAAUCAUAGUGAUGUAAAUAUGUUGAAUAAAUGCACUGUAUGUCCACUAGCUAAACAGACAAGAAUCUCAUUUCCCAUAAGUACUACUAAAUGUUCUGCAUAUUUUAAACUUGUACACAUGGAUUUAUGGGGUCCUUAUAGAACAUCUAUAGUUGAUAAUAAGUGUUAUUUCUUGACUAUGGUGGAUGACUAUAGUAGAUAUUCUUGGGUUCAUCUGUUGCAGCAAAAAUCUGAGACCAUAGUAGCUAUUAAGACAUUCAUAUCCAUGAUUAGAACGUAGUUUGGAGUGGUGAUAAAGGCUAUUAGAUCUGAUAAUGGGACUGAGUUAAUACUCAAUGUCACACAUUCUUUCAGUCUCUAAGUAUUCUACAUCAGACUAGCUGUCCUCACAAUCCACGACAAAAUGGAGUGGUUGAGAGAAAACACAAGCACAUAUUAAAUAUAGCUAGAGCUCUUAAGUUUCAGUCCCACUUGCCCAUCAAGUUUUAGGGAUGAUGUGUGAAAGCUGCAGUAUAUAUUAUGAAUAGGUAACCAACCUCAGUCUUGAGUUUUAAGAGACCAUAUUAGUUGUUAUUCUCCAAGGAUCCCAAGCUAUCUCAUUUGAGGGUGUUGGGAUGUCAGUGUUAUGUGACUGUUGUCCCUAGAAGUUACAAGUUCUCUGAAAGAGCUAAACCUGCCAUGUUAGUAGGAUAUUCAGAGUCUCAAAAGGGUUACUUGCUACUGGAUAUCCACUCAAAAAGACUAUUAGUGAGUAGGGAAGUUGUGUUUUAUGAAGAUUCAUUCCCCUUUGAUCCAUCACAAGCAAAAUUAUAGCAUCCAAAUGCUUCCAAAACUGCUGAAGACAUCAAUGACUUCCUGGUAUCCACAGAUAAUGAAGUAGGUACUGAUGUUACUUUAGAGGAUAUUCACGUUGAUGAUGCUGAUUUUGAUGAUGCUGCACCACCUGAUGUACCUUUCUUUGAUGCAAAUACUGAAGCUGAUUGCCAAGCUGAGCCCUCUCUGACUUAAGCUUCUUCUGAUGUUGCAGUACCUGGUGCUGUUUCACCUGACACCACUCAUGAAGAAACAUUUCAAGAUGACCAUUCCCUGCCACAACCCUUUUCUAGUAGACCAAUAAAAACAAGCAGGCCACCUGUGUGGAUGCAUGAUUAUGUUGAAACUUCAAAAACCCAGAGAUGCAAGUACCCUUUAGCUAACAACCUAUCUUACAGUAAACUAAAACCUGCAUAUUAGUGGUACUUUUUAAAGUUAUCCACUCUGGCAAAGCCUCAACACUUUAAAAAAGCUAUAAAAUAUGAAAGAUAGGUGGAAGCUAUGACGCUAGAAAUCCUAGCAUUGGAGGCCAAUAAUAUAUGGACCAUUGUUGACCUGCCUAAAGAAAAGAACACUGUUGGUUCCAAAUGGAUAUACAAGAUUAAAUAUCUUGCAAAUGGUAAAGUGGAAAGGUUCAAAACAAUAUUAGUUGACAAGGGAUAUAGCCAACAAGAAGGGCUAGAUUAUCAUGAAGCAUAUUCACCAGUGGCAAAAAUGGUUACUGUCAGGAGUGUGAUUGUUGUAGCAGUAUCUAGAGGAUGGCCUCUUUAUCAAAUGGAUGUCUAUAAUGCAAUUUUACAAUAGGAUCUUGAAGAGUAAGUGUACAUGGAGCUUCUAGAAGGUUUCAGAAGCCAAGGAAAGCACAAAGUUUGCAAGUUGCUCAAAUCCUUGUAUAGCCUCAAGCAGGCUUCCAGACAAUUGAACCUGAAACUGACUUAUGUUUUGCUUGAUACUGGAUUCACUCAGAGUGCUCAUGACUAUUCUCUCUUCAUUCUACAUCAAGGUGAUGACACAGUAGUAGUUCUUUUAUAUGUUGAUGACCUACUCCUUACUGGAAGCAAUGCAGCAUUGAUUAAUCCAACAAAAGCCAAGUUACAUCAGUAUUUCAAGAUGAUGGACCUGGGGAAUCUCAAAUACUUCUCAGGUAUUGAAGUCCUCAGAUCCAAUUCAGGGGCGAUAUUAAAUAAAAAGAAGUAUUUCCUAGAAUUAAUUUCAGAUACUGGUCUUAGUGGUUCAAAACCUGCAAUCACUCCCUUAGAAUCUAAUGUAAGGUUAACAUCACUUGAGUAUGAUCAAGCCACAGGUGCACAAGGUGAUAAUUUGUUGUCUGAUGCUUCUUCUUAUCAGAGAGUAGUGGGUAAACUCAUGUAUGUCACUAUUACAAGAUCAGAUAUUAGUUUUAUAGUCCACACUCUCAGCUAGUUUAUGCAACGUCUAAAGAGAUCAUACUAGGAGGUUGCUAUUAGGGUAGUUAGGUACCUCAAAGGCUCUAUUGGUCAAGGAAUCUGGGUAAAGACUGAGCAUUCUACCACUCUAAAUUGCUAGUGUGACUUAGAUUAGGCUACUUGUCCCAACACCAGGCGAUCAGUUACUGGCUAUGCAGUUCAUUUUGGUGAAUCUUUAAUUUCUUGGAAGUACAAGAAAUAGCAUACUCUUUCCAGGAGCUCUGCUGAAGCUGAGUACAGAAGCAUGGCUUCAGCAGUUGCAGAGAUAACUUGGUUGGUUGGUUUGUUCCAGGAACUCAAUGUUCCCAUUACCUUGCCCAUAUUAGUCUUUAGUGACAGCAAUUCAACAAUUCAAUUGGCCAACAAUACUGUGAUUCAUGAGAGAACAAAACACAUAGAGAUUGACUGUCAUUUUAUCAGGGACAAGAUCAAAAGUAAACUGAUAAAGCUAUAUAUGUUCACACCGAUGUAUAGGUGGCUGACCUUUUUACCAAGGGACUAAGCCAAGCCAAACAUUCUCAUUUAUUAGACAAGCUUGUGUGCUAAAUAUAUUACACCCUGCAGCUUGAGAGGGCAUAUCUUAACUACUGAUCCAAGCACAAAGUAUGAUCUCAAGAUAUGAUACCCACUGUAUAGAACCACACAACACUAACUGUUCUAUUGGAUGGAAGGUUCUGGAAGCUUCUCGAUUGUUAGUCAGUUAGCAAUAGCAAGUUGUUAGAGGUUGUUAGGCAAGUGGUUAGUCAGUUAUGAUGAGCUGUCGCUAAGCUGGAAAUGAGAUCAUUAUCUUAGCUAAAGUAUAUAAGUAGCUGCAAUGUUGUAAUGUACAGACGAUGAAGAAUAAAAUUUCCAACUACACUCUGUCCUUUCUUUUUCAUUGUUCAUGGAUUAUGAAGCUGUAAUGCUUGAGUUUCACAAAGAUUCUUUGAAUUCAUUUGGAUUUGGCGACUACUUUACAUGUGCAGAUUUAAUAUCUAAAGGUUCUAGUGGAUACUUAUCAGAGCUAGAGUUCAUGGGCUUGUUUUAUCAUGAAGGUAAGUCACAUCGAAAUGGUGGCAAUUUUGUAGACUGCAUAUUAUCAAAUGAAUUUGAAAAAAAUUUGAAUCUGGAGGUGACCUUGACGGAUACAGAUAAAGAUUCUAAAUGCAUGAGAUUAUCCAGCAAUUGUUCAUUUUUAUCAUUAGUAGAGAAAGAUGAUCUGGACAACACCGAGUUAAAGUUGGAGCUUGAUACAAUUGAGUCACAAUAUCAACAAUGCUUUCAAGAACUCACAAGAAUGAAGCUGGAGGCAAUAGAUUUGUGCAGGAAGAGAUGAACCGCGAAGACAAAUUUGGCAGGUAAUUGAUUGAAAGAUAAUAGUUGAUAACUUCAUUGACAUUUAAGUUUUUUACUUUUUUUUUUCUUUUCUUUUCUUAAUUUUUGGUCACAUAUUCGAAUCCUUUGAUGGAUUUUGGUAUUCUUUUUCUUUCAGACUUAACUUCCUUUAUACCCCUUAUUUGUGUGGGUAAAGAUUAUAUGCACUUUGUAUAAAGAGUGUAUAUAGUCAUUUAGGUUUGUCGGUUUUUAGCCUUGAUUAAUUUGUUCUUCUGUAGCUCAUUGUUUUGCAAGUAUGCAAAAUGUUUUUGAUCAUUCAGUUGCAAAGGUAUUAAAUAAGUGGGCUAAAUCCAAAUUUUAAUAGAAACUCUAGUAUUAUUAAAAGACAUUAAAUGUUUUAAUAUUAUUAUUAUUAAUAUGAUUAUUAUUAUAAAAGUAAGGAUUAAUUCUAAAUAAUAAAAUGUUAAGUCAUUAUUGGUUUGCAUUAUAUUAACUUGAUAUUGUUGUAAAAAUUUUAUAUUAUUAAUAUGAAGAUUUGAGUCAUUUAACUCAAAGUUCUAAAAUAUUUUUGAUAAAAAGUGUAUAAUUCUUCUUUAUAAUUAGAUUUUUUUAAGGAAAAAUUACUUAAAACAACACCUUAACUUUCCAUUAUUACUAAAAACUAGUAUACAUACCCGCGCAUCGCGCGAGUAAAUAACGUAUAAUUUUAAAUAAUUAUAGAUUGCAAUGGCUUACUAUCGUGUAAUAAAUAAUUGUACAUUUAUGUAUAAUACAAUACUCUCUUCGUUUAAAAAUAGUUGGCCCUUUUGAACUUGACACUCUCCUUAAGAAAGUAUUUAUUAGAGGUUUAUUUUACCAAAUUAGCCUCAUUAAUUUAGUUUUUAAAAUUUAAAUUUAAGUAAAUAUACUUUGUUUAGUCAUUUAAUGUUGGGCGUAAUAUUUGAAGAACAUAAUAAAAUACUAUUGAUAUCAUCAAAGGGACAAUUAGAUUAAAAUAAAUACUUUUAGAAAGAGAGCCAAAUAAAACGAAACUGAGGGAGUAGAAUUAAAUUAUUUCGAUUUGAUUAGAAAUUGUUAUUUGAUUUAAAAAUAAUAGGGGAACGGAUGUAAUUAAAAUUUCGUUUUGAAAUUAUUGACAUAGAAUUGAUCAUUAAAUUUUUAUUCAAUUUUUUUAGUCAUUUAUGACAUUAAAUACCAUUAAAUGGAAUAGUGAAAAUGAACAAUUUAUAAAGAUAGUGACAUAGAUGGAUAAAACUAUUUAUAAUAAUUACAUAAAUGUGCAUAUUUUUAAUAUAUGAAUUAAAAUAUUUAAUAUUUAUAAGUUCAAUGACAUAUUAAUAUUUUUUAAUUAAUAUUAAAAUAUCUUUAAAUUAAUUAUGUAAAAUUUUAGUAUUUUCAUAUUGAAUGUAAUGAUAUUUUUUAUAUUUUAUGAUUAAGUACAUUGAAAAAAAUUCUAGAGAAAGGCUAAAGAAUGGUAAGAUUAAAACGUUAGAUUUAAUUAUAUAGAGGUGUAUUUGCGUCUGUGUAUUUUUAUUUUCUUAAAAGAAAUAAUAUAUUACAAUGUUUAUUCUUCAAGUAAAUGAUUUAUUUGAAUGAUCCAAAAGUAAUACGGAGUAUGUAAAUACCAGCCCAUAUAAUAAAUAUCUGUAUAAAAAAGUCCAUCUCAAAGGACAAAAUAUAUUAAAAAAAUAUUAUAUCCAUAUAGAUUAACUAGAUUUGGCAAGUACUCCUCGUUAGCGUUUUUUUUGUCCAGAAAAUUGAGAAGUUGCCUAUUCACCUUCAUCACUAUUUCCAAACUUCACUUUGUAAGAUAGUUUUAAGCAAAAAUAUUUUAUGAACUCUAUUGAAACAAAAAAUAGCAGCUAAAAGGUCAAAGCAUUUCUUUUUUCUUACUUAGUUUUUUUGAAGCUUUCUGACUUGUUUCUUGUUGGAUUCUUCAAAUCAUUCCGUGUUGUUUAUUCUUAAAUUUGUAUAGAUCUUUGAAAAUAAUCUCCAUUUAUGUUGGUUAGUAUUUGAUUUUGGUCUCCGAAAUGUCUAGUAAGUUCUCCUUUUACUAUGAUUUUCUUUUUCUUUUUUUAGAUUUGAACAUGCAAGUGAAAUCUAUGGUUUAUUAGUUGUUGAAUUUAUAGUAGAUGUAGAAAAUAAACCCCAAUCAUACGUCAAUAAUUGUUUUAGUCUCUAUAAAGUCUAAUAAAUUCUCCUCUAUUUGUGAUUGUUUUAAAUUUUAAUUUGAUCAUGCAAUUGAAAUCUAUGAUUUAUGUUGUUGAAUUUGUAGUAGAUAUUGAAAAAUAAUCUUUUUUUAUGUCAGUAAUUAUCUGAUUUCAUGGUAUUUAUAAUGUCUGGUAUGCUCUCUUAUCAAUGCAAGAUUUUCUUUUCCACUUUAAUUAGACCAUGCAAGUGAAAUUGGAGAUGUUAAGCUGAUAAAAAUAUAGAAUGAAACAAAUUUUUUUGAUUAAUAUAACAUUUGAAGCUGUAUAAUUAUGUUAAUGGUAUUUUCUUGUUCCUUUAAUCUUGUUUUCAUGAUUGCAUGACAUAUAAUAAGUCAUAUCUACUAAUAUCUUAGCCAAGUAUGGUGACCUUCUGAACUUUUGGUGUUGUUCCUUUUUUAGCUUGUAAACUUCUGUCCAAUGGUUAUAGGUUCAAUGAAGCCUGGGCUUGUGCAAAAGCAACCCUUUCGUCAUUUGCUUCUGUGAUAAUGUUCUUGAAUUGUUUGCCCAUUUAGUCUUCUCAAUCUCGUCUUUAAAUGCUUUAACUUCUUUACCACUAUGAACAUUUUACAUCCCUCAAUAUCAUGCCUCCAUUAUUCUUCUACAAUGUCUAAGAAUUGUAGAUGGCAUGCCCACCCAUUGCAAAAAUUUGGAAGAAGGUCUAAGCCUACUUGGUCCAUCCAAUAUAGUCACUUUGAUGUCAAUUUGAUUGUAUUUUUAAUUUGUCAUUAUAACUACGGUCAAAUGGUAAACUUAUCUUAGCCAUCUAGUAGAAUCAAGUUUGAUUCCUUCUAUUGGGCAAGAGUCAUUUAUCUACUUCUGUUAAAUUGUAAAUAGUACUAUGUACAUCCUUAAACUACGUUGCUAGCCAAUUAUUUUACUUUUUCUUCCUAUUGAAGAUAUUGUUCUCAUUACUUAUUGGAAGUUGACAGGCCCUGCCUGAUGAACUGUUGACCUGUAGAUGUUCUGCUAGAGUCUUUGAUCUUAGCCACGACUUAAUACAGCAUCUUCCUACCAUAAAUAAUAACUUGAGUUCUCUUUAGGUCAGUAGAGCUGACUCCUUUACAUAUCUUUUAAAUUGUGAUGUUUUCACUUGUUAGGAAGAAAUUUUGUUUCGGUAGUGUUCUACUUACCAGAAAUUAGUUCUUAAUGGAAAUAAAAUCAUGGAUAAUUUAUUAAGCUGGAAGAGAUAGCUUCUCUAAAGAAUCUUGUGUUUAUUUCACUGAACGAAAACCAGUAAGUACCAGAUAUUUCCUUCAUCAGCAUACUACUCUCCAAGUUUAAUGAGAUUCUUGAAGUUCACACAUUCUUUUUUGCACCAUUAACUGAUGGGUACACCAAACAUGUAGGUACAUUUGAGUGUGAGGGACGCAGUAUCAUAGUUCUAAUUUAUUGGAUUGUUUUGGUAAAAUUAUAAUAUGAAAAUUGAAGUAUAUCAGUGAGUAGUAUAAAGCCUUGUAUCCUUCAUUCACAAAAUUCAUGGUAUUAAAUUGUUUUGAUCAGUGACAUUUAGAUGUUGUUUCGUGUUAUAAUUUUAUUUUCUAAUACGGCUUACUCUAUUUACCAACCUCAACCAUUUAUCAUAUGUCAUUAUUUCGACUAAAGAUUUCUUAUAUGAUUGUAUCUACUAAUCUUCUUCUUAGUAUGCAGCAUAGCAACAUUGCCCAAGUGAAAUCAGCACUUGGACCAGUAUGAGACAACUUCAGAGGCAGGUGUGCUUCUCUUAUUGAGGUAAAGAAAUUGGGCUUAUUUUCAUUUUAUUAACUGGAAUCAAGAAAUCCAAAUUCAUCCUAUCAUUGUUCUGAUGAGAAGGGUUAAGAAUUCAAAAACUGAACGUGAGUUGACUGAUUAAUGGUAAGAACUAUGUGUUAGUAAAACUUAGCCAGAUUUUCUAGAGUUCUUGGAUAUAAUGUUUGUUACUCAAACAUGGAUAAAUUUACGAUGGCAGAUUGUAGAAUAUAUAUUCACUUAUAUUUCAGAUUGUGUGUCGGUUAAUAGAAGAUACAACUGCUUAAACCAAAGCUAAAAUGUGAUAUAUAGCUUUAGCCAGUGAAAGAAUGUAGAUUUAGCCCAUGACUAGUGAAUAAAUUAUAGUGUAUUCAGAUUUAAUUACUUCAGAUUCUGAGAUCAUAUGGGUGUAGAAUAUGCAGAUUCAUGGAUAAAUUUUUUUCCCAGAACUAUGUGUUUCCAUGUCUUAAUUCUUGUAGUUGUUAAUAUCUCAUUUGCACAUUUAGUGUUUGGGUUUUAAAUUAUUGAAUGUAAAUAAGACUUCAAGGUUAAACUACAAAAAUGUUUCGAUCACGUUGUCCAUUAUUUCAAUUUGAUUUUUGUGGUCAUGUCUUCCUGUCUAAUGGAAAUAGUUAUCUAGAUAAUUUCAUUGUUUGUUACAUGUCCAGCCUGAUGUGUAACUCUUCUUGCGUGCUAAUGAAUCUUCUUCUUUUUUUUACCGUUGAUUAUAUCAUAUUGUUAUCUUUUCAGUCAACAGUUGAAAAUGAAAAUGAGUCUAUAAUUUUGGAGUAAUUCUUAAGAGGUAUAUGACCUAUUACAGCAACAUGCUCUUACAUAUAAAUUAAAUUAACUUUCUGUACUUGCGUUGCUGGGUUAUAUUAAUAGAAAUGGGAGUAGUUUUCACGAUUGGCUUUGUUAGUUAUAAACUGUAAAGAGAACUUAUAACUAUAGGAAAUCCACAUUUACUGCAGCCAUAAUAUAUGAAAGCAUGCUGCAAUAAAGAAGAUUUCAAAGUUUAAAGAUAUUAAUAAGUUAUGGAAAGACCUCGAUUUUUGUUUUGCCACUUAUCAUGGUGGCUUUGCAGGAAGAGGUUAUGAUGCCUAUUGCUCCCGGUGAAGAACCACUUGAUUUGAUUGUAUGUCCAGCUCAAGAGCUUGCAAGACAUUGAGGCCUUUGAUGUAUAUUGAUGGAGUUGAUAUGAAGCCCCAAAUUGAAGUUGUGAAGAAGGGAGUGUACAUUGUCGUUGCUAAACCGGGAAGGCUCAAAUAUAUGCUAGCAAUGAAAUGAAUGAACCUUGAAAAUUGCAGGUACUUACCAAAUCUUUAGUUGUCACAUGUUGCUUCCUUCCUAUUUCUUGCUAUACCACAUAAUUUGUGGUAAUGUCUAAAUCUACCCCAUGCCUUUGAGAGAGUUCACAUACAUAUAAAUACCUGUUAAAAGCUUCCAUAACAUACACUUUUGUUUUGCAUUUACACAGGGUGAAUUGUAUAAGAAAGGAUACACAACAAAAAAUGAUUCUAUGGGACGUUGAUUAUACAACCAUAGCAGGUAAGUCAACAUUUCAUUCAAAACAGUGAAAACAAAUACAUCUUAAAGUGGUAGCAACAAACAGAAAGAUAUUUUUAAACUGUACAAUAGGUUUAUAAACAAUGGAAACAAUCUGAGUAUAAGAAAUAUGAACAAUUGUAAACAAAAUUUAAUACCUUUUUAUCCUAAAGUACCAUUUCAAUUGCGUAAUAGCGCCAGGAUUAAAGUGACCUUUCACUUCCCAUAGCCGAACAACCAAGAUCUUUAACUUCCACUGCAUUUUAGUAAUUGCUAAGUCGUUGAUGAAGUGUUAACAUUUUUGAUAGAGAAUGAAAGUAUAUAUAAAUUGUGGUAAGGAUUAAAUGAAUUGAGGUAGUUUAUGAAGGAAUCAGUGAUAACAUUAAUAUUUGAUGUGUACAGGUAUAUGCAGAUUGUGGUAAGGAGUUAAAGUAUAGAAGUCGUUUAAGAAGAAAUCAUUGAUUAGAUUAACAUAUCAUUGGUUACAUUAACAUUUGAAGGUUUCUGUAGACAGCGUUAAGGGUCGUUAGAGUUGUAGUGGUAUACGAAGGAAUCAGUGGUUACAACAGAAGAUGAAUUGAAUUUAUAGAUGAAGGGGAUGAAAAUAAGGGCAUUUAACAAUUGAGGAUAAGAUUAAUGACAGUUGUGAAAUAGGUAGGAUUCCGUUGAGCAGUGGAUAAAUGGAUAAAUAAGAUGUUGAUAAAAGAGUUAUAAUAUACCUUGGUAACUUAUUGAACAAAAAGAGUUAACUCUAUAAAUUAUUUUUUAUAUUUGCUACGUUAGUACUUAUGGAAUAAAAAGAGUACAGUAUAUAAAUUAGUUAAUAUUUUUGAUACCUUAGUUUUACGAUAUUUUUUACAAUUACAAAUACAACUUAAAAGAAUGCAAAUUUUUGAUGUUAUAACUGAUCUUUAAUUGUAUUUAUCUGUUUUUAAAAAAUUUAAAAGAUACUGUAAUUGUAAAUUUGAAUGUUUAAAAAUAACUAACAUAACAACUAUUCAUUUUAGUUUGUUUUUGCUUUUUUUUUUUUUUUGAAAUAAGGGUCCAAAUGUUAGAGCGUGGUAAGUUUUAAACUUUAAAUUGUUAAAAUAUUUACCAAACCGAUACAUUGCUUUUACUAUAGAAAUAUUUAUAUUUAUUUAUUGAAAUUAACUUAUCUUUCAAUUGUUAUAGUUUAACUAAAAUUGAAUUUACAGUUUUUUGUCAGUAGUUUAUAAAAGUUGUCAAACUUUUACAUAUUUUUCAUAUUUUUAGUUAUUAUUUAAAAUUAAAACUUAAUUAUUUAAAAAUAAUUAAAAAAUAGUAAAAGCAAUGGAUAUUUUAAAGGAUGACAUUUGGGUGAAUGAGAGGGCUGCAUCUUUUGUUAUUAAGAAUAUAUAGAUAUAGAUAUAAAUAUGAAAUUUUUAAUUAAACAAAUUAACUCGUUUAUAUUUUCUACUUAGUUAAAUGUAUAAGUUUUAGAUUUAUUUUUUAAAAACAAAUGCAAUAAUGAAUUACUAAUAUUUGGAUUUGUUUACAAUUCAAUGCAGAUGGAUAUUGUAUAUGAUAACAUAUGGUUAAAUGAGGAGGUUGCAUCAUAAUCAAAUUUUGCUUGAAGUGAUGCCAAUAUACUAAAUGUAAAAGCAAUUUAUGAGAUUUAAUUUGAUUUUAUUUGAAUUUUGAUUUAAUGAAUGUGAAUUUCAAAGAGAUUUAUAAUAAGAAUUUCAAGUAAGAGAUUUGUAAUAAACAGUGUAUGUUUGCACUUGUAAGUUCUUAUUGAUAAUAGUAUAGUUAUGAUCAUAAAAAAAAUAAAAAAUAGUGCAGUUAUAUAAAACAAAUUCAAAAUCAAUUUUGUAUUUGUUCAAAGUUAUAUUAUUGUGUAAAGGGGGUAACAAUUAUAACCAACUUAAAAACAUUCGAACUAAAAAUAUAAAAUUGUGAAGUAACUGAUAAUUUGAAGUUGAAAUUUAAAAAAAAAAAACUAUAAAAUUGUAAAGUAACGGAAAGUAUAAAAUUGUGAAGUAUCUGAUAAUUUGAAUUUGAAAAUUUUUAAUUGUAAAGUAACGGAAAAGUUGUAUUUGAAAUUUAUAAAACAACUAAUGCAACAACUAUUUCCUAACUAAUUAACUAAAAUAACAUGUGUCAAAAUGUAAUGUUUCCACUUGGCUAAAUGAGGAGGCUUUGUCCUCUCCUUUUAAUAAUAUAUAGAUUCCAUCUCACUAUACUAAUUUCAAAAAUCCCUUCUAACUCAUAAAAGUAUCUUAUCUCCAGAUACAUCACAAUUCACCCUUAUUACUUCGCCUACUGCGUCGCAAAUGUCUCAAACUUAAUAUGGGUACAUUUUGUCUAUCGAUUUGACUCAUUUACCCUGAUUUUGUGCCUAAUUCGAUUUUGCCUUAUUUGUGAGGAACUAUUUCACUAAUUGAUUUUCUAAUUUCUCUUUGCCCUUAUUUAAUGCGACAAACAUUCAUUUACGUAUUAAUUAUGAUAAAUUUAGAUGAUAUUACAAUUGAUUGAUACUAAUGUCUUUUACCCCCUCUUAACUUCCUUUAAUAAGUAGGGACAAUUUUCUUUUCCUUAUUUUGUUUAUGGAAGAUUUCAAUAUUAAGAUUUAGACAAUAUAGCAUGAUUGGUGGAGUUAAGUGAUUUACCUCAUUGAAUAAUAUUCUUGAUUGAAUUAUCAAAUAUUUUUCUUUCUUUUAUUUUUGUGAUCUUUUGCUAUAUAAACAACUCCUCCUCAAAGAAUGAUGAGACAACUUACAAUUUACACACUCUGUAUAAUAAGCUCAUGUGAGUCCCUCUAUUCUCAGCCAAGCAUUUAUUUUUAUGCAGAUUUAACUUAUAUACGUUGAUAACUUAAAUUUUUUUUUUUACAACAAGUGUGUUUUAAUCUGUUGUAGCGGUAACCUAUAAAUUCUUUAUAUAAGCAUCUCAUUUUCCUUUUCCUUUCUUCCCAUAUUAUAGUAUACUAUUCAACAACAAUAACAACAUACCCAGUGUAUUUUCAUAUAGUGGGUCUGGGGAAAAUAAAGUGUACGCAGAUCAUACCACUACCUCAGGUGAAGUAGAGAGGUUGUAUUGUAGUAUACUAUUCACUAUGGAACAUUCUCAACAACCUCUUGCCCCACAGAGUUUUUCAUAUAGCUGGUUGUUGAACAGACAACCAUCCAUUGAUGAAUAUAUCAUGCCUCGAUAUCUUGAUAGAUCAAAGAUUGAAUCUUUUUGCGAAGCCUUCAAUAAUUUCAACACAAAUUCAUCAGUACCCUCAACUAGUACUCCUCCCACACCAAUAUCUAAAAUUUCAAAUUCCACAACUAGUCAAGCUGAUUUUCUUGAAAAAUGGAGGAAGUUUUUGCACAAAAUCUUGGUUAAGUGGUUUGGAUUCAUCCGGCCAAUCUCCAAAAGUAUAGCAAGUUCAAUAAAAAGUACUGCAAAGUUGAUGACCUUAAAAGAAAAGUAAGUGAAAUUCAAAGCUGCAAAAGUACUACUGAUACUUCAUUUCAGGGAUCUCCUCGCCGAAUGUUGAAAUCUUAUUCUAUUGUCAAUUGGUGGGGAAAUGAUAGCAACCAAAGAAGUAUUAGUAGUACUAAAAGAGUUAAGAGUUUGAGGAAGGUGAAAAACUGAAGCAAUAUUAACUCACCACAUGAGGCUUGUUCCCCUAUAAAAAGUCCAUCCAAUGAUCAUUCUACUGAUGUUUGGCACGAGAAGGCGAUUUCUAAUGCAAUUCUGUACUGUAAGAGAUCGUAUGUCAACUGAGCCUGAUUUCGAUCACGGUGAUCGUUUUGACCAGAAGAAGAAAUUCUAGAUGUUAAAUUUCAUCCUUAAAUUCUUUUCUCAGAUGUAUAUUUAGAUUUUUGGCUCUUCAUACAAAUAAUCUAUCAUGUAUCACUCAGAUUCAAUAUUUUGUACAUUUUGAUGUGAAAAUGAAAAACAUAAAAUAGACAAGCACACCCAUCUUACUUGUAUUUUUUUAGCUACUAUUUGAUGCUUUAUUAUUAUCAUCUGUUGUUUUGUUAUUAUUAGUUGAUUCUUGUACCUUGAUUAUGGUAUUAUUUUGUUGUAGUUUUUGCUUAACUGCUAUAUGUUGCUUUGUUAUUAUCAAAUGAUUCUUGUACCUUGAUUACGUAUUGUUUUGUUUAGAUGCUAUCUGUUUUGUUAUUAUCUAUUGAUUCCUGUACCUCCAUAUGCUCUACCUUCGCCAAACCUCACAUUGUGGGUCUGCACUUGGUAUGUCCUCAUUGUUGGAAAUAAACAAUUUGAUUUAUCUAUGGUUGCUUACUUAAUUGUUCCUAAAUGCAUUAUCCUCCCAUAGAAAAUUGCUCUUUAUGGAGUUGAUUCUCUUUUCAACUCAUCUAUUAAGAAUAGGAGUAAGAGUCAUAAGCAUUCUGUCAACAGGUUUUAGAAGCAUUAUAGCCUAAAUAGUAUUGUCCCGUUCAUCUCUUUUAUGUAUUAUAUACCUUUUGCUAUGUUAGCUACUUAUGUUAUCAUACAAUACUCUGUUGGUAAUGCACGAGGCUACAACAAGUAUUCAUUUAAUAGCUUUCCUUGGUAAUCAUUUGAUUGGAUUGGCUUCAAAACUACAUUCACAUUUGUAGUAAAAUUUUGCAAAAGACUGAAUGAGGUGUGGCUAGGAACUGAGAUGACUAUUUCUUUCUUGCUAAUCCCUCCACUCUUGGUGAGCUGUGUUUUUACCUCCCUUUUCUGUAUCAUGUUUGGUUGGAUUUGGGCAUUUAUUGUAGGUUUUGGCUUCAUAAGGUUUGGACUAUAGCAUUUGAAUAGCAGACUGAUCUUUCUGUAUACUAAGAUAGACUACUUUUAGUCUUAGAUUUUGUAUCUUCCCCUUUCAUUUGCCUUAUCUCUGCUUCACUUCGAUUAGAGAUGCUACUUGCUGAAAACAUCUGGAAUCUUAAAAGUAUGUCCUGUUACCAACUUCUCUAGAUUAAAAUGUUAAUCAGCUCAACUCAAUUUCAGAACAUAGGGAUUUUUAGCACUGUUUACAGGUGAUACUGGUGAGAUUCGUGCUGAAUUGAGAGAACAAAUAGAUACCGAGGAUGCAGAAUGAAGGGAGGAAGGAAAGGCAGAAAUUAUGCCUGGUGUCCUCUUCAUUGACGAAGUACGUAUGCUUGACAUUGAGUGUUUCUCUUUCCUAAACUGAGAUCUGGAGAAUGACAUAGCACCUAUAUUGGUUGUUACGACCAAUAGAGGCAUUACUAUAAUCUGGGGGACAAACGACAGAUCCCCACAUGGGACUCCAAUUGACUUUCUUGAUCGCCUGCUCAUCAUCUCUACAUAACCUUACAAAGAGGAAGAAAUUCGCAAAAUCCUGGACAUCAGAUGCCAAGAGGAGGAUGUAGAAAUAUCGGAGGAUGCAAGAGUUCUAUUGACCAAGAUCGGGGUGAAUACCUCUUUGAGAUACACCAUCCACCUUAUCACUUCUGCAGCAUUGGCUUGCCAAAAAUGGAAAGGGAAGGUUGUGGAAGUGGAAGACAUUACUCGAGUCUAUAAUCUGUUUUAUGAUAUGAAGAGAUCCACACAGUACUUGAUGGAGUAUCAGAGCCAUUACAUGUUUAAAGAAAUAUCAGCAGGAGAGGCCGAAGAAGAUGAAACUACUGCAAUGGUGUCCUGAAAGCUUCUCGACUUAGGAUUCAGGAGGUUGCAACUUAGCUUUGGCGAGGUAUUUCGCUACCUAGUUCUUACUUGAUGAUUUCUUUUCUUCUAUUUAUGUUUUCUGACUUGAACAAAAUGUUAAUUGAUAAAUGUGGAUCCAAUAUGAUUUCCUAUUCCUCCUUUUAAUUAAGAACUACAUCUGUUAGGCAUUCGUAUAAAAGUUUAGGGUGAUAUAUUGGGAUUUAGGCUAUUAGUUUAACUAAUCAAUUUUAUAAUUUAUAGUAAUUAAGUUGAUAUUUCGAAGUUAUCAAGUGGUGAUGAUGUUUUGUGAUGUAAAGGACUUCUUUAACCAUUCUACAUAAGCAUUUUUUAGCACAGUGAAUUGAAGUUCAUUCUGGAGCAAGUAACCUGAAACCUUCUGCAGAAGGCCCUACUGUUCAAGCUCGAGGUAAUUUCCAAGGACAUGAUAAUACUGUAGAAGAUGUUCAGUUCUUCCCUUCCAGGUAGCUAUCACAUCUCCUCCCACAUUAUAUAAGAUGUUGAGUUUAGUCCAGCAGUUUUUUUGAUAGGAGUUGUGAUACUUGAUGUUGCUUGGGUUAAAAAACCUUCAUGUAACGUGCGCUUGACUGAAGAUGAGCUAAUACUCAUAUGAGCUGUCAUGUCACAUGUCAAGCUUCUUUUUCUUCUGAAUCAUGUCUUGGAAAUUUCAACCUUAAGCCAUUCGAUAUGAUGUCCCUUUUGUUAAUAUUACAGCCUUUAUAGUGGAUUGUUCCUUUUGUUUUCUGUUUUACAUAAUUGUCAGUUAUACAACUAGAGGAAUGUAUGAUGUUUUGGUUAACUUUAUAAAGGAUGCAUGUGGUCUGAGUAAGAAGUCAAAGGAGCAGAUUGUGGACAUUGAUGCUGCAGAUGUGAACUAUGAAUUGGCAGUUUUGGAAUAUGUUGAAGACAUUUUCAGCUUCUACAAACUAGCUGAGGUAUUUAUUGUCUUGAACUUGAGCUUUAUUUUCAUUUCUUGUAUACUAGAAAUAUCUAUGAUCAAAUCAAUUUUUUGUGGUUCUUUGCAGAGUGAGACAAGAGUUCAUGACUAAUUGAUUCACAGCCUACCACAGGUUUGAGCUUAAUCCAGAAACUCUUUACCUCACAAUGUACAUUCUUGAUCGCUACCUCUCUGUGGAGACUGCAUCAAGAAGGGAACUGCAGUUGGUGGGCAUUAGUGCCAUGCUUAUAGCCUCUAAAUAUGAAGAAACUUGGGCUCCCAAGGUAAAAUAUGAAAGCCUUUUUCACCAAAUAAGCUGUUAAUGUCUAAAGCUAACAGCUUUCUAAAUGUUGUAAUUUGUUUUUUUAGCUCAAUGACUUCAUGUGCAUCUCGGACAAAACUUACAGUCACGAGCAAGUGUUAACUAUGGAGAAACAAAUUCACGAGCAACUGAAAUGGUAUCUAAUAGUCCCAACACCUUAUGUGUUCCUCGUCCAUUCUAUCAAAGCUUCUUUACCUGAUUCAGAAUUUAGUUCUUUAAUUUGGGCUCCCGAGAUAAAAUAUGAAAGCCUUUUUCACCAUAUGAGAUGUUAAUGGAUAAAGCUAACAACUUUCUAAAUGUAGUAAUUUUUUUUAGGUCAAUGACUUCAUGUGCAUCUUGGACAAAACUUAUAGUCACGAGGAAGUGUUAACUAUGGACAAACAAAUUCUCGGGCAACUGGUUGUCAUGGAUAAAGUUGUCGUGGUUGUGUGAAGUGAAGUUAGCCAUGUGAAAGCCUCAUUGUUUGCCGAUUAAUCGACUAUUGUAAGUGUUUCGUUAUUGUUUUCAGUACCAAAGCUCCUCGGUUACAUAGUUUUUGGGAUUACAUUGUAUUAAACUGGUUGGAAGUCAAAGGUAUGUUUGAUAUCCCUUUAGGGCUAUAACAUAUCUGGUUCUGAAGAAGAUCAUAUAUAAUUACUUGGAAAGUUAUUUCUCUACGAGUUCUUAUGUUCUAUUACUCAAUGUAUAAACCAGACACAAGAGGCCGAUGAAACUACCACAUUUAAAGACCUCAAACUAAACUGUCUUUCAAUUGCGUCAAUCUUGGAAUAAAGAGCUUAUAAGGUGAUACAAUCAUUGUCCAAUUCUUUUUAUUGGUGUCUUUAUAUUCAUAGAAUGACUGACUUUGUUCUCGCGGUUCUCAUACAAAUUCAUAUACAUUGUCAGUUUUGGGAACCUGAGAAUAUCAUGGACUACAGUUUUGUGAUUGGUCUACAUAUCUACAAUUAUUGCAUCCUUCUGGUAAUAAUUCUGGAAAUCUUUGUACAUCUAUGUUACAUUGCGUUAAACUGGUUGUUGUGGAUAAAGUUGCCAUGGUUGGUGAGGUGAAGUUAGCCAUGUGGAACCCUCAUUGUUUACCGAUUAGCCGACUAUUGUAAGUGUUUGGUUAUUGUUUUCAGUACCGAAGCUCCUUGGUUACAAAGUUUUUUGGUGUACAUUGUGUUAAAUUGAUUGGAUGUCAAAGGUAUGUUUGAAAUCUCUUUAGCGCUACAACCUAUCUGCAUUAGCAAAUCAACUGGCAUUCUGUAAUAUGAUUUCAGGUGAAACGAAUCAGUGAAGUGGCUCGGGAUAGCAAGAUAUUGGCCACACACACUGACAGUCCAGGUGUAAGCAUCUGCUUCUGAAUAUUUCAAUUUCAUUUGGUAGCCCUAUCGUACACAUUUGUUUCCCCCCUAGUGAUUUUUUGGUAGCCAACAUAAAGCUGGUGGAAACUCUUGGCUACAAGCAGAUGAGUUGAUUUCGAUGGAUUCUACUGUGAGUGGAUAUGCCACUACGUCACUAUUCUCUAAAGCUAUUUGGGUUUCGAUUAAUCCAUUGCUUAGUACAGGAUACCAAUCCCCUUUAAAGUUAGAUUAACUGCCAUUGCUUCCACCUGAUUUCCAAGCUGUAAGAACGUCAGAGUUUUUACAAAAGAAUUUCCCUAAGCCAGGUGAAAAUAUGAAGUAUCCUGUAUAAAUAACAUUGAUCUGAUGUUUCAGGAAAGACGUAAUAAUUAGUUUCCUUGCAAUAGUGCAGUUGUCUGAUAUAUAUGUCGGAACAACUCUAAUCCGAAGUUUCAUUGCUACUGCUUCUGCGGAUAGAACAAAACUUUGGGCCCGAUUCAAAUUAUGACAUCUUUUCUACUCUACGUCCUUAUUUUUGACAUAUUCUGUGCUAUGUAAACUUACAAAUUGAAAAUAGCGGUAAAUAACAAUUUUAUUUUUUCUUAUGACAAGUGAAUCCGCAGCGCUGCACCACCCGCCCAGGUUACUGAUGUGUCAACUAAUUCGGCAAACAGGAAGCGUCUUUAUUUCUCUGCAAUAUUUACAAGAGCCAGUCAACAGUGUUCUGCAGAAGAUUUAGUACCUUGGAAGUUACCAACCACCUCAAGAACCCAGGAUUCAUAGAAGUUUUCUGUAUGACCUCUUCUAUGCUAAGAUACAAUUCCAAGACAUGUACUUAUUCUAGCUUUUUUCGAAUGUCUAUGUUGUCUGAAGUUUCUACAAUAGGGUAACUCUUUUCCCACCAGUGACAUGUCUGACUAAUUGUACUCCCAACCUUUACUGCAAACAGGAAGUGAUGUUCAUUCCUCUGUAAUUUUUAUAAGAGCCAUUCAACAGUGUUUUGCAGAAGAUUUAGUACCUUGAAAGUUACCAACCACCUGAAGAACCCAGGAUACAUGAGAAGUCUUCUUUGUGACAUCUUCUAUGCUCAGUAUUGAACAUAUUUCAAAGCUAGGAAAUCAUAAGUUAUUGCACUUGGUGGUAGCACCUCCUGGUUUGGGAAACUCGAGGUGAUUGCACCAUGAGUUCGUUUUGAAUGUGUCAACGAAAAAUGAACUUUGGCUAUAUGUACUAUUCUGCCGAUGCUGCGAUAAGUAUGUGACAAUGCCAACUGAAUCAAACUUCUUACCCUCCAGAAGUUGGGAUGCUCCUCAAGUUCAGUUACUUGUCCAAACCAUCGUUAACAUAUAACUGACAGUUUCUUCUUUUGUUUCCUUUUCUCUACUCCUUUUUGGACAUAAAUGUAACAAAUGGUAGGUGGAACAUUAUUAGAAGUUUGUAGUGUGGAGUUUGAUUGGAUGGGUGUCAAUCGUCAUGUUCAUAUGAACCUAUUGACAACCUCUUUUUAAUUUAAAUUGGAGCCAAAGUAGUAACAGUGUUCUUGGAACAAAAAAGUACGAAAAGAUGAAAAAUAGUAUCAUUUAUUCAUAUAAAGUUUCAAAUAUAUCAUAAAGAAGCAUGUGUAGAGAACUUACUUAGUCCAAUUAACGAUAGUUGCUUUCGUGCCAUUUUGUUUCACACAAGGUAAUUCGACUAACAAGAACAAGCCAAAGCUUCAUGUUGUGCUGCCUCCCCCUGCCUCAAUAUCACAAGUGCAUAAUGGUAGUAAUCCCCACUAAAGUUCGUACUCAACAGGAGAAUUUGAAUUCUUCUCUUGAGUUAUUACCAAUGGAAACAUCAGCACCCUGGCAGGAUGCAAAGAAAUAAGCAGACCAAUAUAUUUGUGAAGGUUUUUGGAGUUCAUAAUCCUUUGUUAAAAUGAGUUCAUCGGGCAAAGUAGUGCCCCCUUAUAAAAUAGAUUGCUUUCUCAGUGUAUCAUUGUUUUAUGCUUGUACCCUCCAACUGUUAAGUUUCUCUGGAACAUUGUAGUUUCGAUGGUCCGGAGACGCUGGAUGUUUAUUGGUUGAAUGUGUAAUAAGCUUUCUCGGAAGAGUGCCUCUUCAAUAUAGUUUACGGAGGGAGCGGAUUUGGAGUAUCAUCAAUCUUUGAGAACUUGCAUCUUAAGAUUGAGAAAAAACAAACAAACCAUAGAAGAGUUGUUAUGUAUCUUUGGUUAGGAAAAAGUCAAUAACUUUCAACCCACUAUAUGUAAGUCUUUUUAAAAAAAGACUUAUUUUUGUGAAAUCCUCCCCCGAGACAAUUGAAGACAUACAAUCUUUGAACUUCUUGGCUCUAAGUAACAAGAAGUGGGAAUUUCCCUAAAGGACUAAAUAAGUUAUAACGUCUAAAAUAUUUUCUUAUGGAUGAUAAUCCAAUGUACAUAAAACUGCCUAAAGAAUUUAGUCAGAUGCAUAAAAUUCAAGAAUUGAGGCUCGCAGGUUCAAGUUACUCAGGUAAAAUACCAUCAAGUUACUCACACCUUCUUAACUACAUUGUCACUUCAGAACAAUCAAUUGACAGGCGAGAUUCCUAUGGAAUUAUGAUCUUUUCACACAUGUAUCACUUGAAUUUGAGCAAAAAUGUGUUGUCUGAUGUUGUGCCAUCCAUUUCAAGUUUCUUGAAAAGAUUUGGUAGGAACUUGGACUUGAAUUUUUGUUUGUAAUUUGUCUAUUACUAUGGCUUUGUUGUAUCUUUUAGAAUUGUGUUUUUUAGGAAUUUAGGCUUUUUUCCCUGAGGCUCAUGAAGUUGCCUAAAAUGCUGAAUUGGGCAUGGUCAAUAAUGUCAGAGUUGCAGUCGAGUCUUCCUCGCAGCCGACAAGUUAAUACGACUAACAAGAUCAAGCAGAAGCUUCCUGCUGUGCUGCCUUCCCCUGUCUCAACAUCACAAAUGCAUAAUGGUAGUAAUCACGCUAAAGUUUGUACUCAACAAGAGAAGUUGAAUUCUUCUCUUUAGUUAUUAACCAAUGAAAACAUCAGCACCCUCGCAAGUUGCAAAGAAAUCAGCAGUCCAAUACAUACAAAUAAGUUUCAGGGAGAGGAUGCGGUUGUUUGGGCACCUAUGCAGUCUCAAAGCAAAACUGAAGACGCUAGUGAAACAAAUUAUAAAACUGGAUCUAAUUAAAUUGGUCCUUAUAAAACAAUGAUGGUAAAUGGAAAGAAAUGUCAACGCUCAACAAACCUUUUAACACUCUACAGAACUGAGCCUUUUAGCUCCACAAUAAUUGAAUACAAAAUCUGCAAACGUAAAUAGAGAAGCAAAAAAUAUCACCUAUAAAAUCCCAUAGCUUCAUCUCAACCUCUUUUGACCUCAUCACACCAGCCACAACAGAAUAAUAACUAAAGAAAUGCCACAUGCAGGACACAACUCAACACACGACUAAAAACUAACGGAAAUAUGAAGUAUGGUCACUUGUUUCCAAAAAGGUAUAAUUAUAUAUGUCAGAAUUCCACAAGAAACAAAUCUAUCAUUACACCUUCCAAGCAACUUGAAACUAACGAUACAGAAGUACCUCUUCGAAGUUUUAAUAUCAACAGUUAGCUGAGAUGAUGAACAAUGAAGUCACAAUGUCAACAAAAAAUGAGGUCUUCAUGAUGCUAAACAACAAAAGAUGAAACAGUAGCUCCAAGCCACAGGAAUCAAAUCUAUGGAAAAGAUUCCAAUUGUAUGUGUUCUUCAUUUACUUUUUACCUUUCUCCCAAAAGAGGAAUGUGCAAUGUAAGAAGUUUAGAAUCAUUAAAAACCAUAGAUUUAACUGAAACCUCUUUUUUUUUUUUAAUACAGGAAUCAUAUACACCUCAACAAAGGAACAUCCAUUCAUCUGUACCACAUGAGAUCAAAUAACUCAACUCCAUGAGACCGGAUCAUCCAUUACACAUGUUUUAUAGGCUGGUGAUAGGAUUGAGGGUUAGUCCCUUCUUCUAAAGCAGAAUUUGAGUUACGACCAGCCUUAGCGCCUCAACAAAUAGUCCACUGACCUAAUAAAUUAUACCAACUAUGUUGAAGUGAAUUUCUCCAUAGGGAGACUGAUAGGAGUCGUGGAUUCGGGUUUGUGAUGAUGAGCACGGUCGAAGAAGCUAAGAAGGCUGUAGUGUUGUCCAACCGUUAUAUGAGUUUUAUUUUUCCUUCUUUAAAAAGCCGGAAAAAAUAUUUGCCUACACAUUUGACCAUAAUGUGUUCUAAUUCCAAAAUUGCUUCAAAGUUUAGGGUAUGGUUGAGCUUAAACACCUUCAGAAGGAGCAUCUGGAGCAUUGUGAGCUCAUCGUCUUCAUACUAGACAUCUUAUUGAAGUGGUAAUGGCGAUGGUAAUAAGGAAAGUUUGUAAUGCGUCUUUAAGGUUUCCUAGACAGACAAUGGUUGCAAAUUGAACAUGGACGAUUUUAUUGACGGUGACUAUAUAUAUCUUCUCUAUUAUUAUUAUUUUUCUAUAUACUACUUAUAUAUUACUUACUACAUAGAAGCAUGAAGUGUUAGAACCACCACCACAUAAAUAAAU